rnacentral:lncRNA from 1 species
CUGGCUUCUGCUACCGUCCUACUCUUUCUCGGCUUCGGAGUCCGUAUUUUCUCGGCCGGUCCCACGAAGCUCCCUCUCACUCCAAUUGUCGCCCCACAAGACCAAUUGCUUAAUCAAGACACCGAACAAGAAGAGGAUGAGAAGUUGAAACAAGAAUUUGAGAAUUGGAAAUAAAAAACGUACGCAUUGACCGUGCCUUUGAGAGUCGUUUCUCUUCAGAACUCAGUGCCUCAAUCUUGGGUUAAGGAUUUUAUGCGAAGUCAAGGAAAGAGAUUGAAGUUUCAGAUGAAUUUGUGCGCUAGCAUUGAUGGGAUCUUUAACAAUUUAUCUGUGCCCUUUAACAAAGUUAAGGCUAAGUCAGCUUCGUAUAUGGCUGCUGAUUUGGUUAGUGUUGGUGAUUCAUGGCUCAGUUUUGCAAUUAAAAAGAGAUUGAUUGAGCCAAUAGCUGGAGCUGAAGAUCAAGAUUGGUUCAAAUGCUUAUGUCACAAAUGGAAGGUAACAUCUUUAUCUUUGACCCGAUCAUUUUUAUUGUCUUUUUAAUUGCAAUGAGAAGAAAUGCCACUGUAGCAUGCAGUGAUGGCACUUAAUAAGUGAGUUGCUAGGAUGUGAACUAGAAAAAUUAAAUAUUGUCUCCUUGGGUAUGCUAGCUCGUAAGUUAGGGUUAAUAUCAGAGCUUAAGGUACUAUAACCGUGAGAAGCUAUUGACUGCCAAUUAAAAUAUCCAUUAAAAUGUCUAGGGAGUUAUGAAGGUGGAGGUAACUACUAAUAAAAAAUAUCCAGUUAACCUCCUGCUCGAUGCAAUUAAUAAAUUUGGUCAAUGCCACUGAAACCUGCUAACUGACAUCACAAUGCGACAUGAGCACUUCAAAAUGGGACAGACGGUCAGUAGCACUAAAUUUUUCUUGCCUAAGAUUGAGCAAUUGGUCUAACUACUAAUCCCUAUUGUAGGUUGAUCAUUAUUUUUUCAAUUAUGUUCAGUUUGACCCAAAAAGUUGCAGAAUCUUGAGCUGAAUAUUGUCACUGAACACUGUCAAUGUCGUUUAGCAUGGCCAACUAACUUGAGUUUGGUAAAACAAACACACAGUGUGUCUCAUGUCUCACAAAUCAAAUUAUCAUCUGUAAUGAUGGAGAAUUUUUCCAAUGUAUGAAGUAUGCUUUGAUACGUGGGUUACCUUGGAGAAGAUAUCUUAAAAUAAAGAAUAUGGGGAGAAAACAGUUCAGUAGUUUAUUAUUCUGUAGUCAAGUUUUGUCUCGAAAAUGGUCAAAAUUUAAAUGAACAAGGACAGGGGAUCUUCAUUCUUUUUUCCCUUUUUUAUACCAAGAUAUCUCUCAACCUUUAUAUAAUCCCCACUGGAUAUCUGCUUCUAAUAAUUAAAAUAAAAAUUUCACCGCUCUAACAAUAAAAAGUAACAUCUUUAGUCAAAUAAUUUACAGUUCCUCAUCAUCUUAGUGUGAGACUAUCAGUACAUUCCAAAAACAUAAUAAAACUGGUUUGAUCCUGUUUAUUGAUGUUUAAAUGUUGUUCAUUGUGACAUGUAGAAAUGAUGAGGCGAAGUUUAUUUGGACAUCAAUUAGUAAGAUCUUGUUUGAAGUUGUUUUCUGAAAUGAACUGCCGAAUGGUAGUUUUUUGGGGGCAUUUGAUGGCUCUUUUUUUUUCCUCAUUUUCAACAUGUGCCUGCUUGGAACAGGAAGGAUUAGACUGCAGAGUUGUUAUAUAUUUUGAGAUGCUCUGGUCAUUGCACAAUUUGUUCACACUGGAAAUUAGAAUGAGAAAUUUGUUGAUGCUGUUUUGAGAGAUCUGCAUUCUAUGCACAAUAACAUGAUUAAUGAAAAUGCAUUGUAGGACUGGAAAGAUCUGUGGCAGCCUGAGCUCGCAGGAAGAAUUUCAAUGGUUAAUUCUCCCCGACAGGUUAUUGGUUCAGUUUUGAAGUAUAGGGGAGCAUCAUACAAUUCAAACGAUAUUGAUUCGCAAGUUGCUGGUGGGAAGAUUGCUGUUCAGCAGAAUCUAGCAUUACUGGCAAACCAGGUACUCUUACAGAAAUGAUAUCUGGUCAUUGCAUGUUAUUGCCUGACAACUGAUUUUGUUUGUACAAGUCUGCUUCUUCAUACAUAUGAAUGCAUAUGUUAGUGUUUUCUUCUCCUUUUCAUACAUAUAAAUGCAUAUGUUAGUGUUGUCUUUUCCUUUUCAUACAUAUUAAUACAUAUGUUGGUGUUCUCUCCUGAGAUGGAUGCAAUAAAGGCUUUUGCUCCUAAAUUUAGCUGAAGAAAUGGCAAGGGAUGUGAGAUUCUGUUUCAUUAAAUUAACAAAAACCCAAAACAAUGAAAAUCCAUAAUAAUGUGGUGUGGGUAAAUUGGCUCCAUUUGGUUCGUUUCCUUAAUGUGAACGCGCGAGCAAUAGAGACUAACAAAAUGAAGUGACAACAAGAAGUCAGUGUCCUUUGAUGGAUGCAUUUUUAGGCAGAAAUAGGUUUGUAAUUGACCAAAUUUGUCUGGCAUGCCAAUUUAAAAAUAAAUAAAUUAUGUGGUUAUUAGCUGUAAUGAAGGGGGAUAGUAGGUGCAAUCAGGUGGAUCCUGGAAAGUUCAACAAAGUUUUGGUAUGGCGUAGUGAAAUUGGUUUGUGCAACUCAGGAGUCUUUCAGGUGAACGAUGAUAGGUUUUGAUUUAUGAAUAUUAUAAAUCUACUGUGCAUAGUAGAAUCAUCUAUAAGUUCUAGUUAUUGAAAUUGUAUACUUUGCCCGGUUUGAGUUAAGGGCACAUGUAAUAUGAAAGAUAGUUGUCGCAUCUUUUAGGUUACCUAACAUUUGAUCAAUCCUAUUAUGGGGGCUUCAAGAUGUCUAACAAUAUGUAGAAUGCCCGUGCUCCUCCCCAUUGUUUAUCUUAUACAAUAAUUUGUUUUAGAUGCUAAUAUCUUUGUCGAUACCGGUAACAAUAUUACAAUAUCUGCGUUUAUUGGGUUUUACAUAGGUUCGACUGUUUGACAGUACACACUAUCUGAAGGCAUUUGCAAUUGGAGAUGUAUGGGUUGCUGUUGGGUGGAGUAGUGAUGUUCUUCCUGCUGUCAAACGUAUGUCUAAUGUUGCUGUUGUUGUUCCCAAGUCUGGUGCUAGCUGCCUGCCAUUCUACUUCGAUAUUCACAUUGUUAUCUCCUUCAUAUUAGCGAUCAGUAAACACGAUAAUGUGACUAAUAAGUUUGUAUUCUCUUUAUAGGCAAUCCCUGCUGCCUCAAGACUUGAAACAAAACAAAUUGGAGGGCGAGUCAGAGGUCCAUCUCCAUUAAUCCAUCAAUGGAUAGAAUUCUGCUUGCAAACAGCGAGAGCAUUGCCUUUCAAGCAAGAGGUUAUCCCGGGUGCAUCUCCCUCUGCCCUUGAAAGUACUCUGGUUAAGUUGCCUGAAGAACUUCUGAAGGGUAAACCAAGUCUGGAUACUAACUUAAUUGCUGGAGUACUCCCGGCUGAAAUUCUGGCCAGAUGUGAGUUUUUGGAGCCAUUAUCUGAAGCUACUUGGUCAUAUUAUGAGUGGCUGGUUGUUAAUCUGCAAAAAGCUGCUCCUGUCUUGAUGAAAAGGGUGCAACAUUACUUGUCAUCAUUAAUCCAAAGCUUUCUAGCAAGAGCUACAUUGAAAAGUUAAUGGCGCUGCAUGCCAAUCAUUAUAAUGCUGUCAGGGCAAUUGGGUCAGGGCAAUUAGGUCAGAGCAUAACUUCAUUAGGAAAAGAGGCUUCAGCUACGUUAAAUAUUACAGGAUGUACUGAGAUGGCUGAAGUCGUUGAGGUUUUACGAGAAACGAAAGAUGAGUGUUUGUUUGAACAAAGUUGUUACUGCAGCGAUUUUGAAUAUGUGCAAGAUGUUGUCCACUGCUCUUUGGGUUAUGGUGUGACUUUCGAUUUCAAGGUUGCCCUGAAACAACGGAAAAGAUUUACAUACCCUCCAAGGAAUGACAACGGCUGGACUAAUUCUGAUCACCUAAUUGACUCAGGAUCGGCUGGCAAUAAUAACAGUUUGUUAACAAUGCACAGUCCCGAGUACUUUUCCAGGAUCAGAUACGACGUGGUCUAAUGUUGAUAAUAAUAGUUUAUUAAAUGACAAAUCGUUGUCCUUGGGUGUUGAUUUCAGAAAUAAAAUACAUUCUGAGGGAUGCUGGUCUACUAUUGCAAGCCCCCAGAGUUAAGAAUCUUUUGAUUGGGGCAUUUGGCAACGAUUCGACAAAUUCUAUUUUCAGCCUCGUCCACCAAGGGAUUCCAACUGAGUUAUCAAUUAUCGUAGCAGUUCUAUUAACUAAAAUUAGCAAAUAUAGCACCAGAAAAAGAACAACAAAUACGCAGUGAAGUUGAAUUGAAAAUGAAGUUGCCGUUGCCGCCCAUAGCGGCUGACUAAUAAUAAAACGAGACAAAUUAAUUAAACUAUUUAUGGUAUGCAAAAACAAACAAAAACCCGUAAAAAAUUUCAAAAAAUUAUUAAUCACACUCUAAACUUACCACUCAACUCUUAAUAAUAGUCAUAAUUUAAAACAAUUUACAACUUUUGAAAACAUUUUCAAAGUUGCCUUUGCCCAAGAGUGGAUUGCCAUGAGGAAAAUCAUUUUCUCAGUGGAUUGCCAUUGCCCAGGAGUUGCAAUGAAAACAGACCACCAACUGUGCCGGAAGAUUCAACUAGCACUGAAAAAGAUGAUAAUGGAUAGUGUCCAUAUAAUUUUUAAAUCAUCUUAUGUAAUUGUGAUGUCAGGAAGCAUUAAUGUUCUAUAUGUGAACUCUUAUUGGCAACAUUGGUGGUUUUAUCCUGUUAAAAUGUGGAUGACUUCCGGUUACUAUUUUGUCGUACACAAUUUUAUUCAAUUAACAUAUAGUUUAAAACCAUUAUGCAUGUAUGUGCUUUAUUAAGAUUCUCAAGUACCAAUCACGUUUGCUUAAGAAAUAAAAUUUUGCCAUUAAAAGUGUAGUAAUAUUUCCAAGCGCCUCGCAUUUAUCUCAAUAUUUUGAAGGAAUUUCGAGAAAUACACGUGUCCAAAAGUCUAGUCAUCAUCCUUACUAUUGGGGUAUUGGUAUUGAAAAGCCCUACGCUAAAUGCAGUUUGUAAGAGGAUGGAGAUAUUUACUGUCGCAAUAUUAUGGAAUAUGCACAAGGAGUUUUUCUAUUGUUCUUUUGAUGUUGCAGCUGUUGGUGCUUUCAAUGUUUCCCUGAAACAUAGCGAAAGAACGCACAUAUUCUUCGUAUGAGUUGAUUUUUAGUGAUUAUCUAAUUGACUGAGGUGACAACAACAGAACGCACAACGUGGAAUUCAAUAAUAAAAUUCUUCCGUUCAAUUUGUUUUUAAGUUAAAUUAUUAAUUACUUAAAACUCUGUUUUUUUAAGUCUUUAAUUUUAUGUGUUGGCGUAUAUGCAAAGUUGGAUUCUUAAGUGAGUUGGACAUGACCUACAAUGAGAGUGACAGUAAACAAACAUUAAAACGUGUGGACUCCGGUAGCUGCCCUACAAGUCUACAAUAAUAAUUUCUAGCCCCGUUGACUCCACCAACUAAAGUUUUUUAAAAUUUAGAAAAGUACAUCGAAUUACACAACAAGCAAAACGCGUGGAAUUUAAUUUUUUGCGAAUAAAAUAUAAUUUAACGAAAAACAACAAGAAAAAUGGUAAGAUUUCUAAAAUGAAUGGAAGUUGAUCCAUAUUUUAGUCAGGGUGCGUUUGAGAUUAAGGUUCUGUAGCUAUAAUUUAAAAGUUGUAGUAUUAAAAUGUUUGGUAAACACUAAUUAUUGUAACUUAAAAGUUAAGUUAAUAUAAUUUUUUAUUUAUAUGAUGAAAAAUUUAUUAUAUCUUUAUUAAUUUUGUCAAAAUUAUUAUUUAAAAUUUACUCAUUUUUGUUUCAUAGUUACAACAUUUUUCCCACAACAACUGUAGCUUAAAAACUAUAGCAUCUCAAUCCCAAACGCACCCUCAAACAACUUGCCUCCAACAUUAAGAUGAUUGAUUUUUUUUAUUUUUUUAAUAAUAUCAACUUCCAUAUCUUUCCAGAAUAUGCUCACGUUCAAGUCUAUCUUGCUAAUUUGAAAAAGAAAAUCAAAUCAAAUCAACACCAAAACAAUGAAAAGUAAAGCUUUUGAAUUUCAAUCCAGCUAGCUAACAUAUUCAGCGUUUUCAAUUUCUUCCCAUUGCAUAUCUUCUUCCUCCAUCAAUGCAAUAUUUGAACGAUAGGAAAGAGUUUAAGAACAUAAAAAAUCUCCUAGGUUUAUAAGGCAUAACAAAUUUAAAUUCUCAAUUUUAAUAGAUAAUAAUUAAACUAAUAAUUAUUUAUAUACUUAUUUUAGUAAUUUCACCUAAGAAUAAUAUUGUAAUUAGAAAAAAUCUAAUAAGUGGGGCGGUUUUAUACAAAAUCAACUGCAUACAUAUAUGCAGAUGCAAAUAAUAAUUUUUUUUUUUUAAUAAGCAAAUUGUAUAUUGAGAGGAAUAAGAUGUUUAAUUUAAUUAAUUUCCUUACUUUCAAGUUUCAUAUACAUUGCCUUUCUAUCUAAAGAAAGGUUGGUGUUCAGAAUGACAUGAAGUUGCGAGUUGCUGCCCAUGGCUACAGAUUAAUAAUAAAACGAGACAAAUUAAUUAAACUCAGGCCUUUAUGUAUAUGUUAUCCUAACUUUAAUCGCUCUUGUUUGUUAAUAUUCAUUCUUAGGGAGGUGAAAAAAUUACAAGUCUUGAAUAACAAGGAGGAGUUUAAUUGCCUCUAACUUUACUUGGCUUUCUUUAAUCUCAUUAAUAAUCAAUCUCCCUGCAAUUUCGUAAGCCAAGCGCAAAAUCAUACAGAGAAUUAAUUAUCUUUUUAUUAUUAAACCAUCUUCAAGAAGAUUUUCGUCAAUUUGCCCCAGAGUGGUUGGAGCUGUGUUUCUGAUAAGCCAAAGAAUUAGUAGCAAUUAGUAUUAAUAUUGUCCACCCAAGAAAUAUGAGUGAAUUAAAGUAUUAGCAAGACUUCAUUGAGAGGAGCCAUCUAUUAACUAAAAUGCGAAUUUAAUACAAGAAGAAAUAGUAUGUACAUACUUGGCAAUUGAGUUCGUUAAGAAGUGGCAUCGCAUUCUGGUGAUGAGUUUACUUUUGUUAAUAAUUUUAGUCUAAUUACAAUCGUACUUUGACCACUACUCAAGCUAAGUGAAAGUUACGGAUGUGGCAAAAUAAAUAAUUAAAUUAACAAAAUGCUAACUAAUUUUCCUGACUAAAUAGAGUUGCACAAUUUCACUAAUUUGGAACAAUUGACAUUAAUGGACUAGUUUUCACCCCAUAUAAUUAAAAUCCUUCUGGAAAGCUAAUUUUUAUUAAGUAUUUGCUUUUAAGUUAAUUUCAAUUAAAAAAAAGGUUUUAAGCUAUAUGUAGUCUAAUGAGAUUUUCUUCGGAACUUUUUUUUUUUGUUUAUUUUUAAUUUCAAGUUACCUUAAUUUUAAGAAUUUGGAACAUUGAUUUGGUCAUGGAUUAAUUUCAACUAGUAACUGUCAUAUUCUAAACUUAAUGGUAUCAUUCUUGAUCAAGGGCAAUGACUCUUAACUCCUCUUAUAAAAAAAAAUAUUUUCGACUAUUUUGAUGACAAACCUCUCUAACAGAUAGUAGUCUUUAAAACUGAUAGAUUUGGCCAAAUUAUUCAUUUUAACGAAAUAUAAUUUAUGCAUCAAAAUUAUCAGGCAUAUGUCCAAUGCAGCACUUUUUUUUCCCUUAAAAAAAAUGAAAUUAUCGGUUAUGCCCCUGAGGCAUUUUCUAGAGUAUAGGUUCUGCUUACCUCUAUUUCUCUUGUAACUUUCUUUUUCAUUUUUUUAAUGAAGUUAAUUAAUAAAAGAACAAGGGAAGGUUUUUCAAUCAUGAUUUUCCAAGUCAUGCAUUAUUUGACUACCGAUCAAUCAAGAAACCGACCAAAUUAAUUUCUCUCCAUGAUUUCCAAAAGCUAGAAAAUUUUAUUAUUUGAAAACAACAUCGUUAAUUAUAGAGUGAAUCAAACCGCAUUAUCGUCUCUCAUGAAACUGAUGUGAGUCAUACUUUUUAAUUACGCAAACCAGUCAACUUGAACUUUCUUAUUUUUAUUAUUAUUAUACCAUUCAUUUCAAUCCCCGAUUAUUUGACCAGCAACUAUCAAGACACCGACCAAAUUUAUUUCUCCAUGACUUCCAAAAACUACAAAAUAACAUCAUUAAUUGGAGUUGAUCAAACCACAGUAUUAUUGUCAUGUAUUAUUGUGUAAAAAGUAACUCAUGAACAAUGAUGCAGAAUCGCAUGAAUAGAUCUCUGCGAACAGAGAUUUCAGAGUUAGUUAAUUAGGUUAAUUAAUUUUCAAAGGUUUUAGUUUUCCUAUACUUACUAAAAUAGAUAUAAAUUUUUAACAAAUCACUUCCAAAUCUCAACAUCACUUGAACGAUUCUUAAAGUAAAUUGUUAAUUAAUUUCCCUGACGUAUACAGCUAAAGUUGUUGCUCCUCCUAAUUAAAUAAAGUCGCAUAAUUUCACCAACUUGGAAGAAUUGACAUUAAUGGACUGGUCCCCUCUCUAGAUGUAAAGUCUUCUUAAAAGAUAAUUUUAUUGCCUGUUUGCUUUUAAGUUAAUUUAUAUUUCGAAAAAAAUGUUUAAGUUACAUAUAUGACGGAGGGAGUCUUUUAAGGACAAUUCCCUUCUUCAAAUAAUAAUGAAAAAGGGGUAAUUUAAAAAUAAAAUAAAUAAGUGUUGAUUAUAUCUUGAAUUUCAUCGAUUAUGUGAUCAAAGUGAUAAUUUUGAUUUAUUUUUUGUUCAAUUUUAAUUUUUAGGUUAUCUUAAUUUGAAGAAUUUAGAAUAUUCGGUCAUAAAUUACGCACAUGUAAAUUUUUCUGCCAUUGACUAUAAUAUUUUAGACUUAAUGGUACCUUUCUUGAUGAAGGGUAAUGAGUCUAUAUUCUCCUCUUAUAAAAACUAUAUUAGUUGAUUCUUGUUAUGGUUAAUAGUCUUUAAGAAUGGAUAGAUUUAUUGACUUCAUAACCAAAUUAUGCCUGCCUAGGGCUGCGACUAUUAAUAAAAUUAAUAUUUAAUGUUUAUGUUAACAGAUUUAAGAUUUUAUGCGUUCAUUAAUUGUUAUUAGCUAAAGGAUGAAUUAUAUUUUCAAGCCAAUCAGUUGAUGCAGCUGCAAGAGUUUUUUUUGUUUUACUGACCAUAAUUUUCUCCCAGGUAAAUCUUCUCAUCAGCCCUCAUUUAUCUUUUAUAAAUUGAAGAUCUCACAUUUUCAAACUAUCACUUCCAAACUUCAGUAUCACUUGAGCCAUUCUUGAACCAUUCAAAACUGAACAAGCUUGGAAAUAACCAAAUAUAUGCAAAAAUCGAAUCACAUUCUUUGGCCCCUCAAAAUUCUAAUUAUAUAACUUCUAUAUAUCUCAUUGUCUGGUCACGAAGAUGGUGGCACAUUAAACUUCUCUUCCAUCAACAUCAUUAGGAAUAUGUUCAUCUCUCACACAUUAACUUGAGUGGAGAGUUUCCAAAUUGAUUGUUAGAAAACAAUGCAAAAGCUAGGCACACUUGAUCUGUCUAAUAAUUCUCUUUCGGUAAAAUUAAUUAAUUUUAGGGGUAUAUUCGGCCAAUCUAUAUAAUUUCAGAUUGAUCAUUAAUUAAUUAGACGAUACAAAUUGCUAAAGUGAUUUGAUUUUUGCUGACAAUACAACUAUACAAGUUCAUGACUUGAAAUUUGAUCUCUAUCGAUUGGUUUACAAAUGGACGUACCUGUGCCUUGUGAUGAUAAUUGAACCAGAGAUGUAAAGCUAUAAGGAUUUGACAGCACUAAAUUGUUACAAAGACAUAAAAACAAGUUCCCAUUAUUAUUACUUUUGGCAAAUGUGUGUAAUUUAAUUUUUGACUAUGUGGACCAAAAUGCAAAUGAAAGAAAAAAAAAAACCAAAGAUGUGGAAGUCUUUGGGCUUUUCUUAUAAUUGUGGGUUUUUCAAAGGGAAAAAAUGAGGACACUUCUAAUGUUUGUUUUGAUAAUUACACAUAUACUGUUUAAUUUUAUAUAUGGGCAUAUAAAUCUUUUUUACAAAUAUAUAUUAUUCAUUUUCUGUAUUAUUUUUUAACAUCAUAUUUUUAUUUAUUAUAAAUAUUUAAAGCUAGUUUUUAGGUUGAUAUUUAAUAAAAGGGUAUAAUCGUUCUUUUACUAAACACACACGCUCCUAGUUCCUAUCCAUUUGUCAUCUCAAUCUCUCUCAAUUAUCCUUUAUUGAUAGCUCAAAACGCGUCAUUGUGGAAAAUUAUAGCAAAACAACAAAUAUGGAAAGAAUGGGAAGAAAAUUAACGCGUGAAAGACUUGGAGAAGACAACCAAAUAAGUCAACUAUAAGCAAGCUGGGUGUAUAAAUUGUUAGAUGUGUUAUAAACAAAUAGCGUAGAGCCCUCUAGUUGGUUACAGAGACAGAAAGAGUAUGUGUAUUUUUUAGAACUUAAAGAUAUAGUUAGAAUGGGUGAUUCAAAAUCAAAAACGGUGAUAAUGUUUGUUCUGUUAUUAAUAAUAUUUGGAGGUGGGUGGAGUGAGGGAUGUUUGGAUCAUGAGAGAUUUGCUCUUUUACGACUAAAACAUUUCUUCACUGAUCCUUAUGAUAAGGGAGCUACUGAUUGUUGUCAGUGGGAAGGGGUUGAGUGCAGCAACACCACAGGGCGAGUGAUAGGACUAUACCUUUCUGAAACGUAUUCGGGAGAGUACUGGUAUCUGAAUGCUUCUUUAUUUACUCCCUUUCAACAACUUGAGUCACUUGAUUUAAGUUGGAACAAUAUAGCCGGUUGUGCUGAGAAUGAAGGUGCUUCGUUUAAUUUAAUUAAUUUACUUCCUCCCUCCUAAUUUAAGUUGAAUAUCAAGAUCGAGCAAUUAUAUGCAUAUUCAUUCAGUUGACAAUUUUGACAAUUUUUUUUAAAUGAUUAAUUUUGAAAUUAGACCAACAACCAUGAUCUGUUUUCAUUUUACUUGCAGGUCUAGAGGGGCUGUCAAGAUUGAACAACCUAAAGAUGCUUGAUUUAAGUGGGAACGCAUUCAACAAUAACGUCUUAUCAUCUCUAGCUCGUCUUUCAUCAUUAAGAUCAUUAUAUUUAUCUGACAAUAGAUUGGAAGGAAGUAUUGAUGUUAAAGGUACAAAAUUAAAACUUCAUCUCUUCUCCGAACACUUCCAUUAACUUGCUAAAUUAAGAUUUAAGGCUUUGAAUUCAAUUUUUUUACGAGUAGUAUUGAAAAAAAAUGGUUAUAAACAAUUCAAAAAUAAAUGUCCACUGUUUCUCAUAAUUUUAUGUUGAACUUUCGUAUGUCUUAACUUUAGGGUUAAAACAAAAUUACUCUAAUUGCCAACCAAACACUCAUAGCUAAUUUAUCUUUUUUUUUAAUUAUUUAAAAGUGAUGAAAUUUAUCUUAUUUUUCGUGAGGUUUGAAACAUUCAACUCAAUUUGUACUCUUUACAGAAUUAGAUUCUUUGAGAGAUUUAGAGGAGCUAGACAUCGGCGGGAACAAGAUUGACAAAUUUAUGGUCUCAAAAGGUACUACAAAUACCAUAAAAAAUGUAAACUUUUACAAAUUAGCUAAAUUGUUUGCCAUUUGGUUAUUAUUUUGCAGGUUUAAGUAAGUUGAAGUCUCUCGGUUUAAGUGGUACGGGAUUCAAAGGGACAUUCGAUGUUCGAGGUAAGACUAAGCCACUUUCUCAUUUUAUAUAUGCCAGCUAGACUUGUGUAUCAUCGACAUAAUUUAAUAUUUAAUUUGAUUAGUCUGAAGGAAUUACAUACUAAUUAAACAUACUUUUAUAUACUCUGUCGAUCAAUUAAUUAAAUGCUAUUUGGUUUGGUUUAGACGAAAUUCUUAUGACAUUUUAAUUUCUUUCAAUUUAUUAAUUAAUUUACUCUGUUUUAAGUCUUAAGUCUGGGUAUGUUUGCAGAAUUCGAUUCCUUCAACAACUUAGAAGUGUUGGACAUGAGCGGCAAUGAAAUCGACAAUCUUGUGGUUCCUCAAGGUAAACAAUUAAAAUAUUAUUCAAUUACAUUAAUUUAAUUCAUUGAUUAGGCAGGCCCAAAAGCUACAAAAAUAAUAGUAAUAAUAAUAAAGAAACAAAGAGUUUAUAAUAAUAAUAAUAAUAAUAAGCUGUUAAUUAAUUAAUUUCGCUGCUACUUCCUUCUAAACAGAGUUGCACAAUUUCACCAUCUUGAAUAUUUGAGAUUGGACUCUUCCUCUCUCCAUAUAAGCCUUCGGCGAUUGCUUGAAGAAUUUGUUUAUUUAUUAUUAAAAUGUUUAAUUUUGAAAUUACCCCAAACACAUGUGAUCUCUGUUUUGAUUUUACUUACAGGUCUAGAGAGGCUAUCAAGAUUGAGCAAGUUGAAGAAGCUUGACUUAAGAGGAAACUUGUGCAAUAAUAGCAUCUUAUCAUCUGUAGCUCGUCUUUCAUCAUUAACGUCAUUACAUUUGUCUCAUAAUAUAUUGCAAGGAAGUAUUGAUGCUAAAGGUACAUAAUUAAAACUUCAUCUCUUCUCCCAACUCUUUCAUUAACAUGCUAAUAUAAGAUUGAAGGCUUUGAAUUCAAUUUUUUUAUGAGCAAUAUUAGAAAAAUAGUUUAAGCAAUUCAUAAAUACAAUUUUCAAUGUUUCUCAUAAUUCCAUCUUGUACUUUCGUAUGUCUCGACUUUAAAAAAAAAAUUACUCUGACUGUGAAGCAAAUACCCCAUGACUAAUUCAUCAUUUUUUCCAGUUAAAAUUGAUAAAAUUUAUCACUCGUUUUUAUUGAUUAAUUAACUCUGUUUUGAGUCUUAAGUCUUGGCGUCUUGGCAUGUUUGCAGAAUUUGAUUCCCUGAGCAAUUUAGAAGAGUUGGACAUCAACGACAACGAAAUAGACAAUGUUGAGGUUUCUCGAGGUAAACAAUUGAAAUAUUAAUUCAAUUACAUUAAUUUAAUUCAUUUGAUUAGGAAAGGCCCAAAAAGUACAAAAACAUUUAAAAAAAUAGAGAAACAGAGAAUUUAUAUUAUUUAAAAAACAGAACGUAACACUAUUAUUUCAAAAAUAGAGUGUAACAAAGAUUCGAUUCCAGUUCUUUUGAUAUUUACAUCAAUUGAAAAACGAUGUUGCUCUUUUUCCAAAGCAUAAAAUACGAAUUGACUCCCAAUUAAACUAAUCAUUUAUUUCGUUUAUCUCUAAAUUUAAACAAUGAAUUUUGAUCUUCAAUCCUAUCCUAAUUACUGUUAAAAAACAGGUUACAGAGGCUUGAGGAAGUUGAAAAGCCUUGAUCUAUCGGGAGUUGGAAUUAGAGAUGGAAACAAGUUGUUACAAUCAAUGGGAUCAUUCCCAUCCCUCAACACUCUUCACUUGGAGUCUAAUAAUUUUACCGCUACACUGACAACUACUCAAGGUAAGUAAAAGGUACAUAUGUAGCCAAUUUUAUAAAUAAAUUGUUAAUUAAUUAAGUAAUUUUCCAUAUUAUUAAUAAAGCUAAAUUCGUUUUUCUUCCUUAUAAUUCUAAACAGAGUUGCACAAUUUCACCAACUUGGAAUAUUUGACAUUGGACGAUUCCUCUCUCCAUAUAAGCCUUCUGCAAAGCAUUGCAUCAUUAUUCCCUUCGUUAAAAAAUCUGUCGAUGUCUGGUUGUGAAGUCAAUGGCGUCCUAAGCGGUCAAGGUAAAAGAAAAGUGUUGAUUGUGAACUCACUCAAUGGUGUCCUACGUGUUCAAAAUUUUUAUUUAUUAAUUUAUUUAUUGUUUAAUGUUUCUGCUAGGUUUUCCUCAUUUCAAGAGUUUGGAACAUUUGGACAUGAGGUUCGCGCGCAUUGCACUCAACACUAGCUUUCUUCAAAUCAUCGGUGAAUCGAUGCCUUCUCUUAAGUACUUAUCACUGUCAGGUUCUACUCUUGGCACUAACAGCAGCAGGAUUCUUGAUCAAGGUUAAUCAGAUGCUCCCACCCUCCCUUCUUAAUCUAUAAUAUUAAUUUUCAAUUAAAUAUUUAAUUACACAAACCAAUCACUUCUAUAUGAAAGAAUACUCUGCAUUUGUUAAUUUUUAUGUUGUAGUGAUGGAUGCAUUAAUAAAUUUUCAGGCCUCUGCCCAUUGGCGCAUCUGCAAGAGUUGUACAUUGAUAAUAAUGAUUUAAGAGGUAGCUUGCCUUGGUGCUUGGCAAAUACGACAUCCCUCCGAAUAUUAGAUGUUUCUUUUAACCAACUUACUGGAAGCAUCUCUUCAUCCCCCCUCGUUCAUUUGACAUCCAUUGAAGAGCUGAGGCUUUCAAACAAUCAUUUCCGGAUCCCAGUUUCACUUGAACCACUUUUCAAUCACUCAAAACUCAAGAUUUUCGAUGCGAAAAAUAACGAAAUAAAUGGAGAAAUAAAUGAGUCACAUUCUUUGACCCCAAAAUUCCAGUUAAAAUCUCUCUCAUUGUCCUCCAAUUACGGGGAUAGUGUCACAUUCCCCAAAUUCCUUUACCAUCAACAUGAACUGAAGGAAGCUGAACUCUCACACAUUAAGAUGAUUGGAGAAUUUCCAAAUUGGUUGUUGGAAAACAACACAAAAUUAGAAUUUCUUUACCUCGUGAAUGAUUCUCUUGCAGGACCUUUCCGCUUGCCAAUUCAUUCACAUAAGCGGUUAAGAUUCUUAGAUGUCUCCAACAACAACUUCCAAGGCCACAUUCCAGUAGAAAUUGGAGAUAUUUUACCAAGUUUAGUUUAUUUCAACAUUUCCAUGAAUGCUUUGGAUGGUAGCAUUCCCUCCUCAUUUGGCAACGUAAUCUUCCUCCAAUUUCUGGACUUAUCCAAUAAUAAAUUGACUGGUGAAAUCCCUGAUCACUUGGCCAUGUGUUGCGUCAACUUGGAGUUUCUUUCGCUAUCAAACAACAGCCUAAAAGGUCACAUCUUCUCCAGAAUUUUUAGCUUGAGAAACUUGAGAUGGUUACUAUUGGAGGGCAAUCACUUCGUAGGAGAGAUCCCACAAAGUUUGUCUAAAUGCUCCUCAUUAAAAGGAUUGUAUCUUAAUAAUAACAAUCUCUCGGGCAAGAUUCCACGAUGGUUGGGUAAUCUCAAAGGGUUACAACAUAUUGUAAUGCCCAAGAAUCAUCUUGAAGGUCCUAUUCCAGUGGAGUUUUGUCGGCUUGAUUCGCUUCAGAUUUUGGACAUUUCAGACAACAACAUAUCUGGAAGUUUACCAUCUUGUUUCUAUCCUCUUUCUAUCAAACAAGUUCACCUAUCGAAAAAUAUGUUACAUGGACAACUAAAAGAAGGUACAUUUUUUAAUUGCUCUUCCCUUGUGACGUUAGAUCUUAGCUAUAACUACUUGAACGGGAGCAUUCCAGAUUGGAUUGAUGGGCUUUCUCAGUUAAGCCACCUUAACUUGGCUCACAAUAACCUUGAAGGUGAAGUGCCAAUUCAAUUGUGCAGAUUAAACCAACUGCAAUUGUUAGAUCUUUCUGAUAAUAAUCUUCACGGUCUUAUUCCUUCUUGCUUUGAUAACACCACACUUCAUGAAAGUUACAACAAUAAUUCUAGUCCUGACAAGCCAUUUAAAACAUCUUUUUCCAUCAGUGGUCCUCAGGGAAGUGUAGAAAAGAAAAUCCUUGAAAUUUUUGAAUUCACAACAAAGAACAUUGCCUACGCUUACCAAGGAAGAGUGCUUAGCCUCCUAUCAGGACUUGAUCUUUCUUGUAAUAAGCUAGUUGGUCAUAUUCCUCCUCAAAUUGGAAAUUUGACCAGGAUUCAAACAUUGAAUCUAUCACACAACAACUUGACAGGAACAAUCCCUUUAACUUUUUCAAACUUGAGGCAUAUCGAAAGUUUGGAUCUUUCCUAUAACAAAUUGAGUGGGAAAAUCCCUCGUCAACUUGUGGAUUUAAAUACAUUAGCUAUUUUUAUUGUGGCAUACAAUAACUUAUCAGGCAAGAUCCCAGAAUGGACUGCACAAUUUGCAACCUUCAACAAGAGUAGCUAUGAUGGAAAUCCUUUUCUUUGUGGACUACCAUUGCCUAUCUGCAGAUCACUAGCAACUAUGUCGGAGGCUUCAACUAGCAAUGAAGGGGAUGAUAAUUUAAUUGACAUGGACAGUUUCUUUAUCACAUUUACAAUAUCAUACGUAAUUGUGAUAUUCGGAAUCGUUGUUGUUCUAUAUGUGAAUCCUUAUUGGCGACGUAGGUGGCUUUAUCUUGUUGAAAUGUGGAUAACGUCUUGUUACUAUUUUGUCAUAGACAAUCUUAUUCCAACAAGAUUUUGUCAUUGAAAUUAAUAUGUAGUUUAAUUAAGAUCCUUUAAGUUCUAAACAAGUUUGCUUAAGAAAUAAUUUAUUUUUUAAGUACUAAUCAAGUUUGGUUAAGAAAUAAUUUUUUUUUUAUAUUGAAAUUGUAGUAGUAUUGAGCACUAUAUAGCUUCCAACUUCCAAGAACCUAGCAUGUCUCCACACUUAGAAAGCUGGGUGAUUAUGCUUUGCAGAUCUAGAUUUGAAGUAGGAUGGUCCCAAACCCAUAUCUAUGUAUUGUAGCUUACCUAUGAUGUCCAACAUACUUAAACGAGAGCACCAUCUCUAAUGUUAAUAAUAGCCGCUAUAUAGGAUCCUUUUGGAAACUAUAUUCAGAAUCGUUUUAUAAUCAUACAUAGGAAAUGAAAAAUCUUACUGCAAUUGGUUGCCUAUUUUACUCUGAACAAGAACGAUUAUGGCGUUAACAUCAUCUUCUUCACUAGUAGCAUUAACAUCAAACCACGGGAUAGACCCAGACAUUUCAUCAAGAAAGGCAUACAUCUAAUAAAGUUGAAGCUUUGACAAAAAAUUCAAUGGAAGGUCAAUGUCUCGCCACAACAAAGGGCACAACAACAUCAUUCUAGAAGAGAUGAAGCAAUAUUCUCAAAGCUAAAGCUCUCAAAUACACCACACAAUAAUUUCAUAUCUCCUCAUCGAUUUCAAAAACUAAAGAUAAUUAGGAUUUAACAUUGGUUUGUUAUAUAUUAGUUUCAUAAUUUAAAAGCCAAUGAAGAUGAAGAUUAUGCCAAUGAAUUCAAAUUAUACCAUACAUUCUCCGGAUAUCACAAAAAAUUUACAAGUCAAUCCCACAUAUUUCAUAACUUAAAGACUGGAAAGUUUCAUUAGUUAGAAGUUUCAUUACCUUUAAGUAGAAGAUGAAGAAGAACAUUAUGCAAGUGAUUAAGAUUAUAUUAUACAUUCUCCGAAUGCAACUAGAAAUUAACAAGUUCAUGCCACAUAUUCGAUAACAUUAUGAUUGAAAAGCUUGAUAAGGACUUGAGAAAUUCUGAAUUCAACCUUCUGCACUAAGGUUAUUUGAUUGAUUUGAGCUACUUUGUGAUUAAGCUACUAGUACAACAUUUAAUUCAGGGAGGAAAUAAAUUAAAAUUUGGUAGAAAUAGUAAUAAAAAUUUGUUGCUAAACAUGAUGUGCAGUUUUUUUUCUUAAGGCAAUUUGGAAACACAGUUGUUAGUAAAUAUAUUCUCCUCAACUUGGAGAUAAAUACAUAUAUGAAAAUGCCUACGAUCAGAUAAAUACAGAUAUGAAAAUGCAUAUUGUUUGGAAUUUAGAUCUAUUAGAAAUAGAUGUAGGUAAUUAAAAAUUAAAAAUUAAAAAUUAACAGCUUAAUUAUUUCCGGAAGUACUGUUCACUGUUACUGUUCAUGAAUACUGUUCAUCCGCAUAAAAAAUAUUAAUUUUCCAAAAACAUAAUAAAAUGCAGAAAAUAAAUGACACGGAGAUUUUUACGUGGUUCAGAUUAACCAAUCCUACAUCCAUGAGGCCACGCCUAGAUAAAAAGCAAUUCACUAAGUUGAGAUGUUACAACCUAUGGAUUUACCAAACUUAAUACUCUCACUUACAGUUUAUCACCAUACAGUUUACUCAACCUUAGACUAAAUCUGCUUCUCUUGAAUAAUCGCUACCCCUCUUGAUCCACGAUCCUUAAGGCACUUCGCAAAGUGAUCAAUAGCAAUUCUUCAAUUCUUCAAAGUCUAGUGAUCCAAGAUCCACAUAGACUCUCCGCAGAGAUGAACAGAAGAUAAGAAAACAAAUCAACAUAACAUGAUGCGCCAAAUCCAGAUUCUCUGGGGAGGACGCCGAAUUUUGCUUCUGUGCUUUAUGCUCUGUGUUGUGCCAUCUUCAAUUGUGAAAUACCUCUCUUUAUAUAGGCACUAGGAUUUCACCAAAAUAGCAAGUCUUAAAAGACUUGGAUUCUUUCCAAAUAAGAGUUUCUUUCCUCUUAUAAUUCCCAUGAAUUUGAAUAGGAAUAAAUCUGAUCUUCUUGCCUUGCUUGUCUCCCAAGAAAUAUCUAGAGCAUUUAAUGACUUCCUGUUUGAACCAACUUUUAGCUCUAAAUAAAUCUCAUGCGCCAAUUAUAGAAUCCCACCAUUAAUUGACUUGCUAAAAUAGACAUCUAAUUAAAUUAGGAAACAAAUAUUCCUAAUAAAUUGGAAUCUCACUAAAUUAGGGAAUUAAUAAAUUAAUCCCUAUUACAAGAUAUGCAAUAAAUAAACUUCUAAUUUAAUUAGACUUGCCAUAAAAUAUCAACUCUAUAAAUAAUGACCUUAACACAUAUGAUCACACAUAUUACUUGCAACUUAGCAAGAUUUAAUUAAGGGGAGCAAUCAAACCACUUAUCAGUUGUCGUAGUUGUUCUAUAAUCUAAAAUGGCAAUAUAACACAAGAAAAAGAUAACAUAUAGAUACUUGGCAAGGGUUCAUUAAGAAGUCGCAUCACAUUCGGGUGAUGAGUUUGCUUCUGAUAUCUUGCUAGCUGCGGCUUUCUCCUGUCUUUCUACUCAUGCUGAGGGAAACCAACAAGCCUUGCCUUUGCAUUCACCUUCCGACCAUCUAGGAGGAGCCACCUUGAGAAUUUAUAGCCAAAAAGGGUGAAUAAAACAGAAGUUGACCAUUCAAAGACUUGAGGUGAAAUAAUUGAAGCAAAAUAGGAUAAUUCUUUGACUUAGAAAGAGUGAAUUAGUUGUAAUUACUCAAAUAACUGCAUUAACCAUGGAAGUUUAACAAGAUAUAAAUUCACGUGAAAUUCUUAAAUGAAAAUAUAAGAUUAGGGCUCCUCAAUUUGCUUUUAAAUCAGCUAGACAGCUAAGAGUGUUUUGUAGGUGAAAGUAGUUUGUAUAAGCAUAUAUUUAAUUUUUUAGCAAUUCAGUAAGAGUUAAAUCCUUCUUAAUCAUCAAAAUAUGCAGAUUUAUUGCGCCCCUUUGAACAAAGAAUAUAGCAAUUUCAUUAGGAUUUAUUGUCAAAUUAGGCAAUGCACAACAAAGAUUUUUUUAAAAACAAAUCACCUAUUAAAAGAACACACAUAUAAAGUAUCCACAAAAUUACUCCAUUCUACAACGAAUUAUAAAUUGCUCUCUCACUUGUAUUUUCUCUCUCUUCCAUCAAUCCGUUUAUCUUAUCAAUACAAGAAAAAAAAGAAUACUUGACAUUUUUUAUUUGACAAUUUUUAAGAAAUAUCAAAUAUAUAUGACAUUUUGUGAAAAAUUGAGUAAUUGUGAAAUAUAAAUGACAAUUUAUUUAAACGUCAAAUACUAAUGAUGUUUUACCAAAUAAGUAGAAAAUAUAUUAUAUUUUUAUUGAAUAAUUACCAUUUACCUUUUCCUUUUAUUGACUUAAGAAAAAAACAAAAAACGCACUAUACUGCCUUUGUCUCGUUCUUAGAACAUAUUUGUUUCUUUUAAGAAAAUUCAAACUCGUUCCCCUUGCUUUCUUUUCAAUAAUCACCUCACAUUUUUAUCAAUCACUCAAUUUCGAAUUUCAUCUCAAUCCUCUCUCGAAGAAGAACGCACAAAGAAUUUCAGCUUGCUUUAGCCUCAUUUGCUUCUCGAAUUUCAGGUAUUGUUUCCUUUAAUUUUGAUAAUUUGUUUCUACUUCUCUCUUUCUGGUUUGAUAAUUUUAGGGUCAUAGUUGAAUUAUUUGUAUUUUUAAACAAUCUAGGGUUGAUUUAAUUGAUUCCAAGUGUCGUAUCUGUUCUGCUAUUUGAAUGCACAUUACUUGUUUGAUGAAAUGUCUCUUUAAAAGAUUAUUUUUUUUAACAAGCAUCUUAUUGAGAUGUUUCUCGUGAUAAUAUUAACGUAAUGCACUUAGCUUCAAUUUGGUAUGUUUAAUACAUUUUAACAAAGGAAAAUUACAGAACUGCAACAAUUCUCAAAUUGCUUGCAGAUUAGAAGUAAUGUUAUUGAUUUUUAUUAAUUAAUGAGAUUUUUAUUUAUUGAGUCUGUAAACUCACUAUAAGAAGUGAUUAUUGCUAUAAUUUGGUCUGUUUCAUACAUUUUCAUUCUCAUUAUAAAUGACGGUCAACUCUCAUUUUUUUCAUCAAUCACUCAAUUUUAAAUUUCAUCUCCAUUCUCUCUCGAAGAAGGACCCACGAAGAAGUUCAGCUUGCUUCAGCUUCAUUUGCUUCUUGAAUUUCAGGUAUUUUUCUUUUAAUUUUGAUAAUUUUUUUUAAUUCUCUCUUUCUAGUUUGAUAAUUUUAGUGUUAUACUUGAAUUAAUUGUAUUUUUAAUUGAUACUAAGUCUUAUAUCUGUUCUCAUUCAACAAAGAAAGAACGCACAAAUAAUUUUCACUUUCAUUCUCAAUUUUGAAAGAAUCAAUUUAUUUUAUAAACUAUAUUAGACACACUCUAGUUGCUUAAUUAGUAAAAUUGUAAGCUCAUUGCCUUAUUUUUUGGGGUUAAUUCUAUAAUUUUAUCAGUUGUUCUUGUGGUUGCAAACAAUAUCAUUUUUUAAUAUUAAUAAAACUAAAUGAAUAUUAUGUGAUACAUUUGCAGGAAAGUUAAUAGUUUAAAUAUGGAUAAAUCUUGGAUGUUGAUGGAUAGAAGGUUUAUAGAAUAUGAAAAUGGGGUAAAUGAGUUUCUCAAGUUUGCAAUACUUCAUGCUAGUAAUCCUGAACUUUUAAGAUGUCCAUGCCAAGCAUGUGGUAAUUUGGUCUUUCAUGUACCUGUUGAGAUAAGAAAUCAUCUUUAUUGGAAAUGUAUUGACCAAAGCUAUCAGACAUGGACUUGGCAUGGAGAAAGAGCUUCUAGUAGACGACCAUCAAAUGUAAAAGCUUCAUUUGAUGGCAGUCAACAAGAUGAUGAAGCUGCUGAUACAGUAGAAAUGGUUAAUGGUGCAUUUGACACUUGUAAUGGUGACCCCAAGUCUUUCGAAACUCUACUUAAAGAUGCUGAAAAACCUUUGUUUCCUGGCUGUGUGAAAUUCACUAAGUUAUCGGCCUUAAUAAGGCUUUACAACAUUAAAGGAAGAAAUGGAUGGUCAAACAAAAGUUUUUCAGAUUUACUAAGUUGUUUAUCAGAUAUGCUUCCUGAUAAAAAUGAAAUACCUUUAUCUGUAUAUGAAGCAAAGACGAUUAUGGUUGCAUUAGGCUUAGAAUAUGAAAAAAUACAUGCAUGUCCCAACGAUUGCAUCCUAUAUAGAAAAGAAUAUAAGGAUUUAUCUGCAAGUCCCACUUGUGGAAUGUCAAGAUGGAAGAGUCCCAAUAAAAGUAAGGGAAUUCCUGCUAAAAUCUUAUGGUAUUUUCCUCCUAUACCAAGGUUUAAGAGGAUGUUUCAAUCUCUUCGAAUCGCAAAAGACUUAACUUGGCAUGCCAAUGAAAGGGUGAUUGAUGGCAAACUACGUCACCCAGCUGACUCACUGUCAUGGAGGCUAAUGGGCCAAAAAUGGCUAGAUUUCGCUGCAGAAGAAAGAAAUCUUUGGCUGGCUAUUUCUACAGAUGGGAUAAAUCCCCAUAAAACUUUCGCAGUUCGUAUAGUUGUUGGCCAAUUGUUAUGAUUACUUAUAAUCUUCCUCCUUAGUUAUGCAUGAAGAGAAAAUUCAUGAUGUUGACUAUGCUAAUAUCUGGUCCACGACAGCCCGGUAACGAUAUUGAUGUCUAUUUGUCACAACUGAUUGAUGACUUGAAAACUUUGUGGGAAGUUGGUGUCCAAAUUUAUGAUGCAUAUAGACAAGAAUUAUUUACUCUACGGGCUGUCUUGUUGUGGACAAUUAGUGAUUUUCCUACUUAUGGGAACUUGUCUGGAUGCUCAAUUAAAGGAUAUUUUGCAUGUCCUAUAUGUGGGAAAGAUACACAGUCCUAUAGACUUAAGCAUGGGAAGAAAAAUGUGUACAUGCGCCAUAGGCGAUAUCUCCCAGAAUCUCACUUGUUUCGAGAUUUAACAAAGGCUUUUGAUGGUAAACCAGAAAGAGACUUUCCUUUUAAGCCGUUAAGUGGUGAAGAAACAUUAAGAAAGGUUGAAGGGAUUCAAAACUCAUGGGGGAAGAAAACUAGAAAGCGUAAAAAAUUAGAUUCUGAUGAAAAAAUUUGCUGGAAAAAGAAAUCAAUAUUUUUUUCUCUCCAGUAUUGGAAACAUUUGCAUGUUCGCCAUAUGUUAGAUGUAAUGCACAUUGAAAACAAUGUGUGCGAAAGUAUAUAUGGUACAUUAUUGAACAUUCCAGGAAAAGCAAAAGAUGGACUUAAUUCUUGGUUGGACCUUGUUGAUUUCAAUAUUAGGAAAGAAUUAGAAGGGAAUCACACUUAUUUACCUGCUGCAUGUUAUUCAUUGACUAGAGCGGAAAAAGUAAUGUUUUGCGAAACAUUAUUUAAUCUGAAGGUUCCUGAAGAAUACUGUUCAAACUUUAAAAAUCUUGUAUCAAUGAGUGAUUUAAAGCUUAUUAGGUUGAAAUCUCAUGAUUGUCAUGCUUUGAUGCAACAACUCCUACCAUUGGCUAUUCGAGGAAUUUUGCCAUAACAUGUUAGAUAUGCCAUCACUAGAUUUUGCUUUUUCUUCAAUGAUCUUUGUAGCAAAGUUGUGGAUGUAGAGAAGUUAAACCAAAUACAAAAGGAUCUUGUGGUCACAAUUAAUUUAUUUAAAAUGUAUUUCCUUCCUGAAUUUUUUGAUAUCAUGGUUCAUUUAAUUGUGCAUCUUGUUAGAGAAGUCAGAUUAUGUGGGCCUGUAUAUCUUAGAUGGAUGUAUCCCUUUGAAAGAUUUUUAAAAGAUCUAAAAGGGUAUGUGCGGAAUAAAAAUCAUCCCGAAGGUUGUAUUGCUGAAUGUUACAUUGUAGAGGAGGCAUUGCACAGAAUAUUUACCCAAUGUGGAUCCAAUUGGAAUUCCAAUUGCAAGGACGAAUAAUAUAGAAACUGAGGGUCCGCUUCUUGGUGGUCGUUUAAGUGAUAUUGAUCGCGACGAAUGGAAGCAAGCACACCAUUAUGUUUUGCGAAACACACAAGCAGUUCAACCUUACAUUGAGUAAGUUUUCUUAUCUUAACUUUAUUAAAACCAUGUAGAUUCAUCACUAAUAUAUUCGUUUUAUUAUGAAUCUUAAUCUUAGGAUGCAUAUGACAUGGUUGAAAUUGAAUUAUCCUCGCCAAUCUAAAAACAAGAAGUGGUUACGAGAUGAACAUGCUCGAAACUUCAUUUACUGGUUACAAGAAAAUGUUUAAUAAACUAUUUCCUUUUAUUUCUGAAAUUUCUAUAAAAUGUUAUGUAUAGGCAUAAUUUCAACUAUUUUCUUUUCUAAAUUUUAUAGGUUUCAAAUGGUAACGAUAAUCAGUCAUCCAAAUCAUCUUUAUUGAAAUGGCUAGUACAAGGACAUUGGCCUCAUGCAUUCUUAUAUCCUGGUUAUCUUAUUAAUAAUUACCGUUUUCACAUAAAAGAUCGUGAUAAUGAUAAAACCACUCAAAAUAGUGGAGUGACUCUUGUAGCUGAAACAGAGCAAAUUACAAGUGCCAAGGACAAGAAUCCUAUUUUUGGAGAAAUGCCUUACUAUGGAGUCAUUAAAGAGAUAUGGGUGCUCGAAUAUCACAUGAUCCAAAUUCCCAUAUUUAAGUGUGAUUGGGUUGAGAGUCAUAGUGGUGUUAAAGUUGAUGAGCUUAGGACAAUCUUAGUUGACCUUAAUCGUAUAGGUCAUAAAUCAGAUCGUUUUAUUCUAGCCUCACAAGCAAAGCAAGUCUUUAACUGACCAACUAGAUCCAAGGUGGUCAGUUGUACUCCAUUUCCCUAAAAUGAUGCCAAAUCCUGAAAAUUUUGAGAAAGGGGAGAAGGACAGUAAGAAUUACAAGCGUGAUGAUGGUGAGAAGAUCUGGAUUCAUAAUAAAACAAUUAGGAAAGCUUAAUUGUUUGUGUUGUAAAGUAAGAAUGUAGUUUAUUGUUUCUGAAUUUUAAUGAUUUCACUUCUUUGCUUAUUUAAAUUAAUUAUAGUUAAUGAUGUCCUAAUAGCUAAAUUAUCUAUUGAUAUGUGACAAAUGAGUACUUAAUAUUGGAUUGUGCUUUUGCAGGAUUAUGACCAUGGAGGAAUAUGAUGAUGAUAUUAUGUCCAUGGAUGAUAUAGAUGAUGUUGAUGCUGAUGUAGAAGAUCUUGAUUUAGAAGACUUUGAUACUAAUAAGAAGAUACAUAAGACUAGAGGAAUUGUCAAGAUGGAGAGUGUUACUAAGAAUCGUAGUGAUGGGAAGAGAGAGAGUUAGAUUUAAUAGCGAUGGACAAUUGGUGGGUGAAGAGAGACAUAAUGUUAUUAGUACAAUUGGUGCUGUCACUAAGACAUUAGUUUCCAUUCUUUCGAUGGAUUUGCGAAAAGUACCAAAGAAUUCAAAAGAAAAAAAAUAUGGGAAUACAUUCAGGUAUGCUUUAUAAACAUAUUAUGCAUUUUGCAAAGGCAUGAAAAUUUUUUUUAAACUGUCUUUAUAUUUCAUGUCUUACAGAGUUCGUUUGAUGUGGAUGAUCGAUUUAAAAGACAAUGUUUGCAAAUUGCUUGAAGUUCAUUUCGUUCUUUUAGAUAUAAUCUCACACAACAUGUAAAAAAAUACAAAGCCUAUCCAAAUCGUUUGCGUAACCCACCACUAUUGUACUCUUUCAUACAAAAAGGUCAUUGGGAUGCAUUUGUUAAUGAUCGAUUAUCUAAAGAAUUUAAGGUAAUCCUUUUUUAUUAUUGUGAACAUUAUUUUUUUAUAUUUUAUUUAUGUCAAUGCUAAUAAACAUAUGUAUUAUAUGCAUUAGACACUUAGUGGCCUUCAAAAAGAAAGACGAGCACUAAAUCUUUACAACCAUCACCUUGGUUGAAAAGGUUAUAAUGGAUUAGAAGAAGAAAUAGUAAGUAUUUUUUUCAUAAAAAAUUAUAAUUAUUUUUAGCAGUUGAUGUAUGUUUAACAUUGGUCACAUUGCUAUUGGAAUUAGAAAAAAGAAUGUGGAAAUCCCAAUUUGAAAGUGGAUAGAAGUGUAGCAUGGAAAAGGGCUCGUCAAAACCCAAAUGGUGGAUAUCAUCUGGUUGUGAUACCUGUUGUGGAUACAAUUGUAAGUAUAAUAUUCUUUGAGCAAUUUUCCAUCAAUUCCUUGUAUGUUGCAUGAAUAAUCACUACUAGAAAAACAGGCUACCAUGACAGAGAGUAUCUGUCAUCCGACCCCCCUUAUGAGUUAUGACAGAGUUUUCAUCUAUCAUUGUAGCCCUUGUGAUAAAUCCGAGACAAUAUUUUAUCUAUCACAUGUUCCCAUGACAGUGUAUAUCUAUCACGCAUACAUCACGAACCAAGCGAUGUCGUUUUGCAAGGCUUUUGAGAAUUAGUUGGAAAUUUUAGCAAGUAAUUUAAAUUAUAUUGAAUUUGGUGGGCUUUUUCAAAAUCUUUCAUAUAUUAAUGAUUCACAUUCUCUGUCAUGAGAUUUAAGGUUUUAAAAAAUAAAAUUAUUAUUUUUAAUUUUGAAAUUAUAAUAAUACUAAUUAAUAUUAUUUAAAUUCCAAAAUUUUGAAAUAGAAAUAACAAAAGCCACAUUUUAAAAUUUGAAUUAACUGAAAUAAAAAUUACAUUCAAAUUCAUAAAAACUAUCGAAUACCAAAUAUCACCAUAUACUAAAAAUUUCAAUUACUUGAAACUUCCAACAAAUAGCAUCAUCAAAAUACGUGGUGAAUCAAAUCCGUAACAAUAGCUCAUAAAUUCUCUACAAUAUUCAAUCACUACCCCAUCAUUAGAAAAACAAUUAAUCUGGAAAAAGAACACUGAUAGUAAAUUCACAAGAGCCACCAACAUCACCUGAAACACAUAUUACAUUUAGAUGAGUGCCAGAAGAAUAUAUAUUAGCGUAUUGGCCACUUACAAUUAAUCCAAUUCAUGAUGAAGUAUUUUUCCAAGAUUACAAAUUAAUUAAUGCACAACAUCUAACAACAUAAAACCUCUGUUACAUAAUUAAAUAAAAUUCAUCAAAAUUCUAUCCUCUAUCCUCUUCUCUUGAUUCCCCUGUUCUCCUAAAGUUUCACCAUCCUUUUCUUUAUUUCUACUCUUUUUUUUUUCAAUCUUCUCUUUAUUUUUCUUCCACUGUACUUGUUCAAAUUUGUAUAUCAAUCUAAGUUCUAAAACACAUAUAUUACACUGAGACUCCAAGCAACGCAAAUCCAUUUAACUUGUUCAUUAGGGCAAGACAAUCUUGGCUAAGAAGCAGCAUGUGGAAGUAUUUCAAAAUGACUAGAGAAAGACUUGCUCUAGAACUAUGGAAAUUAGCAUAUAAAAAGAAAUAGAAAAACACUAAAUAAACAAACCACCCAAAGAUUUCAUCACAUAAAGCAAGGGCAAAUUAUGUGAGAUUUCAUCACAUCAUCACAUGAAGCAAGGGCAAAAUUAUUAUCACAUCCCACUUCACACAACUCAUUACAUACCUUACCUCAUGGCAUUACCUCAAGAACAAAUACUCUGAAAAAUCACGGAUAUCAUUUGGCCUGGAAUGAUCAGCAGAAAACAAAAACGUUAACAAAGUGCUGCAGCAAUGAUAUCAGCACAAUUUCAAACUUAGAUAGAAUCUCACUUGGGGAGUCCAAUAUUCUCAUCAAACCUUUGACUUUUAUAAAAUUUCACCAGAUGGAGCAAACCAGCUCAAUCAAUUUCCUAUACAAUAGUGUGUAUUUAUCAUAUAUCAAUAUUGAGAACUGGUAAGUGCAACAUGGUCCACAAACCAAAACAUUUCCAAUUAAUAAAGCACAAUAUGUGACAAAUCAAAUAAAAAAAAAAAAUCUUCCAAAAAGUUCAACAUGUCAAUUAAGAGAAAAAUUAUAGGAUUCAUAUCAGUGCAUCCAUAAAUGGCCUAGUUUCUCUGUCAACAAGUUAGUUAUAAGCACAAGUCAAAAUAAAUCAUUUCACUGAAAUGCUAGAAGACCAAGCAAAUAAGCACAAUCACCACCACACAAAGCAUUUGCAUUUCCAAAAAUGUAGUUCACAAAGAUUUUACAGAAGAUAUCUUUCUAAUAGAAAAACACAAGCACCAAUCAAUUGUAAUGGGUUUGAGAACUACGAAAGUAAUUUUCACAGUUGAAGAAUAGUUUCUCACAAAAAUUCACUUUAUGCGAAUACCUCUGGUGAAUAGAUUUUGCAUACAUUUUGGUAACAUACAAUAUUGGACCUACCAUGUGCUCAAUAUAUUUAAUAAAUAAAGGUGAGAAUAAUAACAAUACCUUAGAUAUUGUAUUAGCUAAGGCAAACGUUGCUUCAAUCCGAACUCUUCAAAAGGCCUAGAAACAACAGAAAAAUUCCUUAAUUGUAUUUCAUUAAAAGUAAGUCAAAUCAAAACCACAUAUACCUCUAAAUUUGGUUAACUUGUCACUAAGGAAAUUAUUCAGUGUGCCAACAACAUUGAAAGAAAGACAGGGCAGAGAGUCUAGACUGCUGUAAUUGGUCGUACCUGAGCAACAACAUCUCCAUUCUUCUCUAAUUGAUUUAUCUAAUAAAUCAAAAUAGUCAUGCAAGAUUGUUAUCCAGUUAAUUAAGUAAACAUUGUUAAAAGUUUGUAUCGUCACCAUCUACUCAAUAAAGAACAAUAAAGAAGUAAAAACAGAGAAGCCAUCACUCCACACCCAAAAAGUUUCUCUCACUUUCUCGCCAGCCAAACACUCCUUUUCCUCCCUCAAAACCUCGUCUUACCACUCAAAACUCACUAAAUUUCAGCUCAAAUUCUGUUACAAUUUUACCCUAAGUCGAAGACGUAGCAGCUAACUCACCGUCUUUCUGACGUCGCCAACUCCUCGCAGUACAAUCUUCUCCGAUCCGACUCCACGUAAAUAGCACGCUGCCACUCACUUGUCACGGAAUCGUUCCACGAAGGCCGUAAAGCGGAGUCAUUGGCACGUUAGUCCACGAACUCGAAGUCAGUCCCUUAAGGCCAUGGAGCGGCUUUAUUUUUUUCCUUUUUUUGGCAUAAUUUUAGGGAUUUUGAUAAAUUUAUGUCGAUGGUUGUCUCUUUAAAAAAAAAGAACUCAUCACUUACCUCUCGCGAAAGAAGUCAAUAACAAUGGCUCGAACUUGAAGAAUAUCGGUUGUUCAAGCUAUAAAAUCUUAGUUAAAGAAAACAAACAAAGGGAAAUGGGAAUAGCUAGCAAGCAGUGGAGUGGGGAUGAAGAUGACGACAAAUAUGAACAACAGCAAUUUGUUGUCGGCAAGUGUGAUAGUGUAUUUUUGUGUGAUUCGGUUUGGAUGUAGAGAUUAGGGUUUUCUGUGUGAAGUUCAAAAGAGUGUCCAAUACUCUUAGAUUUUUUUUUAAAGGCUUCAAGACACGGUGUCGUUCAAUGCCCAAAUUGGCCAAUCUUAAACUCACCGUUUCAUUACUAUAUGAAUAUGCUAUCAUGUGCAAGUGACAGAUAAAGAAACUAUCACAAAUCUAUCAUGCAUUGCUGAUAUAUGAAAAUUCUAUGAAAAUUCUAUCAUGUGCGUGUCAUAUUUUUGUGAUAAAUGACUAAUUUUCUGAUAUCUAUCACAAAAAUUCUGUCAUAGUAGCCUAUUUUUCUUGUAGUGAAUGGUCUUAUAUUCUUGUAGGAUGAGUUGACCCAGCUAGCAAAAUUAGGGGUUAUAACCACAUCUAGUGAGAAUGAUAUUUUGGCCCAAGCAUUAAAGAAGCCUGAGCGUAAUGGGCGUGUUACAAGGAAGGGAAGAGGAGUCAACCCAUCUUCUUUCUUUCACAAUGUUAAUUUAGAAUCUGAUUGGCAAAGAGAGAAGAGGCUAUUGAAUGAAAAAAUAGUGAAGAUGCAAGCUAUUAUUCAUGAUCUCUCAAAAUCUUCACCAAAAGCAAGACACUCCAAUGUCUGUAGCAACAUAUUUGGAUCACAAGAUGUAUCUAAUGAGACAAAUAACAAAACAGAUCCAAUUUUUGAAAAGCAAAAAAAUUAGGUAUGCACACUCAAGUAAUUAAAUUAAUCUUUUGAAUUUAUACUUUAAGUGCAUAUUUAAUAAUCUUAUUACUUUUUUUUGUUAGGAUCAAACUUGUCAGUUGGCUGUAGGAUGUAAAGAAAACAUUGUUGCUAUUGGAACUAUUUUGGAGUAUAGGAAGCCAAAUGUUUUAGUUGUAAUUGAUAUGGUAUUAAGUCCAGAUGCCCAUCUUCCAAUCCGGACUAGUGAGCUUGUUCAGUGUUUACGUCAGUGAUGGGUUAGGACAACACAUAUUAUGGCCAGAAAAGUUUGUUUCCCAGCUGCUGUAGUAAACAAGGUAUUGAAUUUGGCAUAUAUUACUUGUUUUUUUUAAUUCCUUAAUUGAGAAUUUAAAUUGUAACCACAUGUGAAUGCUUAAAUUUCUAGAUGUCUAAGUCAGCUUUAAAGCCUUCCAAGGGGAAAUUAGAUGUGAAUGCUGAAGUAAACACCCCAUUGAUACCUGGCCUAUGUUACUAGCUUUAAUUCUUGUUUUAUUUCUUUAUUUAAAAUUUAAGUAAUAAUCAUAUUUGAAUGUUUGCAUUUCUAGGUGUCUAAAUCAGUCAUCAAGCCUUUUAAGGAAAAAUUAGAGGUGAAUGAGGAAGUAAACUCUCCCAUAGUUCAGCAAACAUUUAAAAAAACCUCCUGACAUACAAGUUUUUGAUAAAAUGGUAAAGAAAGUUAUGAAACCUGGUUCCCAAGUUAAGGUUGAUUUUGAGAACACAUUUAGUUACAAAUUGCAUACAUAUCUCACUUUGGAGGAAAUUCAAGAUCUUAUUGAUAUGCAAGAGCUUUCACAAAACAGCAUUGUUGUAUACAUGAGGUAUGAUACUUCAAUAAUGCUUUAUAUUUUGUCAAAUAUUUUUGUUUCACUUUAAUUGACCUAGCACUUUUUCUUAUAUACUAGAUAUCUUUGUGCUGAAACAAAGGCCAGGCUAAUUAAUGAAAAGUUUGAGUUCAUUCAUCCUACCACUCUUUCUUUUUUGGAUGAGAGUACUUUCAAACAGAAAGCAAAAACUCUUGCUAAUCGCUUCCAAGAAUUGAGUGCAAAACAAUUUAUCUUCUUACCAUAUAAUCCUAGGUUAGUUAUUUUGUUGCUUUAAAUAUCUUUGUUUAUCUACUUAGUUUUUACUUUUUAAUUAGUAUUUUUUUCUAACUCUUUAUUCAUUUGUUAAUAGUUGUCAUUGGAUCUUGCUUGUGAUCGACUUGCCCUCAAUGGUUGUUCAUUAUUUGAAUUCAGUGAGAAAUGAAAUCAGUGUUGAUAUAAAAAAAAAUUGUAACUGUGUAAGUAUAUUAAAGAUAUUUAGCAAUAAGUAUACUAGUGGUUUUUGCUAUAUAUAUAAUUAUUGAGUUUAAUAUUUCAUAUUUGAUUUGUAUUUUUUUGUAGUGGGAUUCGAAUGUUUCUUGCCAAAAAAGGACAGCAAAUGAAAAAGAUUAAUUUGAAAUGGAAUGAUGUUAAGGUGCCUAUGCAAAUUGGUAAUGUUGAAUGUGGCUACUAUGUCAUGCGAUUCAUGAAGGAGAUUAUUGCAUAUCAAAGUAUACUUUGUGCAAAGGUUAGAUCAUUAACAUAGCUUAAACUUAUUGCAGAUUUUACAGGGAAAUGUGGUUAAAAUGAAGUCUAUGAAUUAAAAGAGUGACAAAUAAAUAUAGUUUUUUGUCUAUUGAUGUUAGUUUAAUGAAAAAGAUACUUAUGAUGAAGAUGAGAUCAACGAAAUUCACUUUGAUUGGACAACUUAUGUUAGUGACUUGAUUUGAAAAAAAAAAUGCAAAAGAGACAAGUAAUGCAGGUAAAUAGCAUAUGAUUCAAUUGAAGUACAUUAGUUUAUUGUUAAUAUUUUUCAUGCAUAGAUUUUUCCUUCUCUUUGUGCAUAGAUAUCUUAUGCUUUCAUUGCAUAAGGCAACUAUAUCAUCUAGUUGGAUUCAUAAUAAAAGCUCUCAGUUAAUUCAAUCAAAAUUUGUCAAUGCCUUAUUGGUAACCAUGACUUACUUUUUUAGCCUCUUCCUUAGACAGUAACAAUAGUAUAUGGCAGUAAUUUUGGUUUCUUGAUGUGUAGGGCUAUGCCGUGGAGUUAUAUAGAUCUCAAGACCAAGACACAUUUACAAUCAAAGAGGAUAUAAGGGUUAUAAAAUAUCAGAUCUAUUGGGUUAAUGCAAAAUUUGUUUAAAAGCUUUUCCUUUUGUAUGUACAACGCUGCUAUGAAAAACUUUUGGACCGAUGGUGGAAUGCUAACUAUAGGCUCAAUGUAUAGUUUUAGAAACAACAUCUUAUUUUAGAUUUAUACUUAAGACAUUUGAUACAUUUAUACGUACAAUGCAAGUUCAAGUUAAUAUGAAUUCAGGUUUCCUAUGCUUUAUUAUGGUGUUUGAAGUUAGUUGAAAUUUUUUGAAUUUUAUCAUGUUUCAAUGUUAUAACAUAUAUAAUGUGCAGCCCAAGACAAGGAAUUUCACUAUUGUAAUUUUUUUUUUAAAUUAUAAUAUUUGAUAUUUUUAUCAAGUCAUUUGCAUUUGACCAUUUUGAAUAAUGUCACAUGCAUAUGACUAUUAUUAAGUGUCAUACACAUUUGACAAUCUUAUAUUGUGAAAAAUAUUUGAUUAUUAUUAAUUGACAAAAAUAAAUGACAAUUUUACUAAUUGUCAAAUAAGCAUAUUUGACACAGGAAUAUUUGGCACUUUUUAAUUGUCAAAUAUUCCUUUAUUUGACAGUUUUUAAAUAUUAAUUAUUCUCUUUUUUCUUAUAGUGUAUAGAAAUUGGUUUAGUCAGCAACAACCCCUAUAAUCCUUGAAAUAAAAUUUUUUAUGUAAUUUUCUAUAAAUUUCAACAAUACUUUAAACUGGAGCCAAGAUCAUGUUUGAUUUCUAGACAAAAUAAUCAAUCAAACAUAAAAAUUCAUAGUUUAGAGGGGUAAACUGGGUGGUUUAGAACUGAGCUAGCAACCUUAUUAUAUUUUGAUUUGCACUUCAUUGUAAAAGGGAAUAUAUUAUAGGAAAAAAGAAAACCAAUCAUCAUUUGUUAACUCAUUGCUUUUCAAUCAAAAUUUUAAGAAUAAAAUGCCAUGUGCUUUGAAUAUCAAAUAAGUAUAAACACUAGUUUUAAAUUCUACAUAUAAUAAGUUAUAGCAUAAUAGAAAAAUCUAUAUGCUGUUACUUGGACCAGUAAAGGGGAAAAUACCUGGCGAACCACAACAUAAUCAUCAACUGAUAGACUUAGCUCCCUAUCUGCUUGAGCAUCAAAUGGAUGUAUAACCUACAAGAUAAUGGGAUAAAUAAAACUUAAUCUUGAAAAGAAUAACAAAAGCAGCAGCAAUAGCAGUAGUGUUUAUUAUAAGCACUAUGAUUAUGGCCAACAAGGAUACAUUAGAAACACUAUUUUUAUUAGGAAAAUAAUAUGUAGUACAAGAUAUCAUGACUGUUGGGUUUCCAAGAGCUAUCAGAGCUCCACAAGUUCUAUAUGACUUUAUGUAAUUGUUUAAAUUAUGGAUGGGAUUUUAAUUCUGAAAUUUUGAUUGCUCUCCACAAAACAUGGCCUAUGCCACAAGAAAGUCAUAGAUAAUGAGGGUUACAAGUGUCCAACAUCUUUCGAGUGAUGGAUUUAAUAUGACAGCUUAUGGUCAGUCAAUUUCCUCUGCUUAAUAAGAUAAGCUUUCUAGGUCAGAUUUUUCAUCAAAUACAUAGAUGGCCCCCAAGUCACAUCCAUACAAACAUAGUUUUCUGAGUAAACCAAGUAAGGAGAAUUAUAAUUCAGCCACAAUCAUAGAAAGGACCCAUCUAACUUAAGAGAAAAUUUUAAGAAGAGGGAUCAUACUAUGAGCUAUCAAUCUUGUAUCUAUAAGCAAAUAUCAAGACUUUAGAUCACCUGCUACAUCGUGAGUGGCUACACAACUUUGCGGUGGUUUGUCUUUCUUUGGCAUGUCUAACUCAGCUUUGAUGUUGUUGAGAUAUUGGCAGCAGAGACACAUGAUACUUCUAGCUAUACAUUCUAUCUAGCUCAUCAUGCAACUAUCUCUUUUUAAUCCAUUAGGGUUGGCUAAAACUCUUGUUUAAAAGUCUUGUUCUCCUAAACAAAGUUUCCCUAAGAAUGACUUCUUCAGCACCACAUUUUGACACUUUUUAGAGCAAUUUUAUUUGGGGAAAAGAAUUUUCAAGGUGUUAACUAAUAAAUUUUAAAAGAUAGUCACGACUCUGUCCCGUAAUCAUAUGACAAUUUAUCUGGGAUGAAAGGACACAGACAAACAUCUUCCACUUUCAAGACUAAUCACUACUUUCAUAAAUGUUGUGCAAUAAUAAAAAUCCUUGACCAGAUGGUAGUGAUAGUAGAAAAGAAUUUUAUUGCUCUAGAAUUAAAAUAAGAAUGUAAUGUGUUAAGCGAAAGACUGUGCGAGAUAUCUACAUAAGGAGGAGUGUUAAAAUAUGAUGCAUCCAACAAAAGACAAGCCUUGUGUAGUCUUUUAAUUAAGCCAAAGUAGCAGCUCAAACAAAUGACACUUGGACCAACAUGCAAGCAUGAAGUAGUCGGAAAAAGGACGAAUGAUACUUUGGCCUAAAUUAAAAAGUUAUUACAAGACAACAGAAAUCACUAUCAUUGUAAAAUAAGUUGGCAAUAAGUAAGAUGAAGAUAAGAGGUAGAAUCUCAACACAUGCAUAGGCAUACACAAGAAAGUAUUAACUUAUAUACCAUAGCAAAGAGUCUUUGAUAGGUCAUCUGUUGCUGCUGUGAUUCAACUGACAACAUAUAUGGUAGUUGUCGCUUCUGUGCCAAGAGCCAUAACUGUAGAUUUAAGCUCGGUCAAUUUUGCUUCUGCAUUUCGAAGCUUCAUAGCACUCUCUGCUGAUAGAUCAGAUCCCUUAAUUUUUUAUCAGCGCCUCAAUACUUCAGCUACAUGGUGAAAAUAUUCAAUAUGAAUCUAAUAUAAUUCUCAUCUCCCCUUAUACAUAUGUUACCUUAAAGCUUACUUGGGCUUCAACUUCAUGUAGGAGUUUGUCAUAACAAUGAGUCAUGUUGCGUAAAUUAGCAAGGGCACUAGUCGGCACAAGUAAUAUAAUGAAAAAUAGAAUAUCGUCCCAUAGAGAUUAUAUAUCCUAUUAACUACCGAAAUUAUUCUAACAAUAAUAUAUUUGAAUAACCGAAUAAAUGAAUUUAGAUUAAUAAUUAAAUAAAAUAAAAUAACUAGAAAAAUUAAAUAAAGAUGUAUGCAGUAAUAGAAAUCACUAAGAUAUGAAGACACUAGCACAUCGAAUUUCACCAUAACCAAUCCAAUUUAAUCCUUCAUCUAUGUUAUUAAUGUUUAUUACCCAUGUUGACAGUGAAUUUUCCUAAUCUAUUUAAUAUCCUCUCUCGAGUAAUAUAAAAAAUACUUCACAUAUUAACCCACUAUAUCUCUAUGUGAAUUUAAAUAAGCAAAAAUUCAUUAAGCUCUACGGAAAUUCUUAGAAAAACUGCGUGAACCACAUUGGCACAUCUCUGUCUUUCCUUCAGUUCAUGGCAUCUAUUACGCAAACAAAAAAUAUAUAAAUCUCCUCUUGGUCUCAUUAUGUAUCCUCAAGUCAUUCAAAUAUUUGCCAGAUAUUUAAGGGUACGUUGGGCACACAAUACUGUAUUAUGUUGUAUUGCAUUAUUUUAAUGCUGAUGUAUUGUAUUAUGUUGUAUUGCAUUAGCACUGUAUUAUAACAAUGCUGUACAAUGUUUGGUGCUACACUGUACUUUAUUAAUUUUUUGAUUAAUUUAAAUUAUAUAUUAUAUUAUAUUAAUAUUUUAUAUUAUAUUCAUAUAUUUAAAUUGUAUUAAUAUUUAUAUUAUUAUUUAUAUUAUUAUUAAUUUUAAAUUAAUAUUAUUCAAAUUUAUUCAUAUUUAAAUAUUUAUUAUUAAUUAUAUUAAAUUAUAAAUUUACUAACAAAUUAUAAUGUAAAAAUAAAAAAUAUAAUAUAAUAUUAUUGAUUAAUAAAUUAUAAAUUUAUUAAUUUAUAUCAAUAAUUGUAACGUAAAAUAACAAAAUUAAAAUUAAUAUUACAUUAAAAAAAGGAAGAGGCAAGCUAAUGUGGCAGUUGCCGCAUUAGUUUGGGCCCAUUAAUGCAAUACUGCUGUAGCUUUUUAUAUGCCAAACAUGGGUCUGUAUAAAUUUAAUACAAUAAGGAGGUCUAAUACUUUAACAAACAUGCCCUAAAAGCAUUAAGCAUAAUAAUGAACACUCAACCAUGAAAUAAUAAACUAAAUAUAACACAGAUUUAUAUAAUUAAAUUUUCAUAAUUAGACUACAUUAUAUCCCUAAUAAAAUAUUUUGGAAGUUGCUCCGUUGAUUAACGCCCGUAUUGGCUCAGAUACCUCCAUGUCCAAAAACCUGUAACAUAAUUAAAAAGAUGAAAAAAAAAAGACUGAAACCUUAAUUGAAAAGUUCCUGUAGCAUAAUCAUGAAAUUUGGGCCUACGUUAAGAAUAUAUAUAUAAGGAUAAUUUAUGCAAUUUUGGGUGUUAGGAUGAUUAGUCUUAGGUUAGGGUUCAUCCUUCUGUAUUUAAGGUUAAAAUAGAAAUAAACCUGUGUAAAUAUUUAAAUUAGGGCUAUAAGACUUCCACAUGCAUCCUUCAGUGUCAUGGAUUUGAUUUUACUAUAGAAACAAGCGUCUUUAUCCAAAAUGCUUGGAGUUAAUUGAGAGAACUCACGGCCAAUAACUUGUCCCACGCUGAUCUUCGCUAGUGAUUUAACAAGUGACAAUGUUUCUUCAACAUUUGAACCAACAAAAUUAUUAAGUCAUGGAUGUCACUAGCAAUGGUUAAAACAUUAAAUAUUUCAGAGUUGUAACGUUUAAAUGGACUCUUUUAUUCAAUAUCUUAGAACUAAGUUUCCUUAUGAGAAGAUAAUAGUUUUGAAAGUAAUUUUACAUAUAAUUUUCCAUAUUUGAAUUAUUUUCUCGUUAGGGAUGAAUUUACCUGAUCACCAAGAAUCCCAAGCAAAGUUUCCCUCUUAUUUUCCAUCAAAUGAUAUGAAGUGCCAAAUUGAAAAGCAGCCCUUGCAACACAAGAAUUGUCACUUUGAAUCUCCGCUCCACAUUUGCAACAAUCUUCGGCCAACUUUCUCGAUACAAUAUUUGAAUACAAAAAUAUUAUACACAGAAACUAGUCAAGAAAAACAAAAUCAAAUAUUAUAAUGAAAGCAAGUGCAAACAAACAACCUAUCUCCAUUUGCUUCAAGCUUACUGCAACAAACCCUUCAACACCACGGACAAUAUUCCUCUGAAAAUGCUGUUCUACAUGGCAUAUAUUCCAAAUUAUUGUUCAGAUAAAACCAUAAAAACCAUCAUAAUUAUUCAACAUACAUUAAGCACUGUUUGGUAAAUACUUGUGACUCCAGUCUAGAAAAUAUAGUUGUUUGUACCAUAUUUGACAAAAUUAUUAUCUAAAAAUCAUAUUUAAUUAGCAAAAGCCACAAUAAAUCAAUACGAAAACAGAGAGGAUAGUACCUUAGCUGCCCCGGUGGAAUUGUACAGAUUUUGAAGUUGUUGGUGACACUCAAAGUUCAGCUUCAUCAACCGCAACAUUUUCAUUACCAAGACGCAGCAAAUGCUUCAAUACUGCCUGUACAAAUCAUAAAGAAAUAAUAAAAAAUAAAAUUGAGAAAUUUCACUAAUUAAACGUCUAAAUGGUUUUAAAAAAGAAAAGAAACGGACUUGCUGCUGCCUGGCGACUUGUUCGCGGACCUUGAUUGCCUGUUUCUUGAUAGCUUCCAUACUGUUUCUUUCAAAAAGCGACGACAGCUCAGCUCAGUUAAUUGAAAAAAGUGUGAUCUAGAAAAAUCAAAAGGGAUGAAUAAUUUUGGCAAAAGGCAAAGCCAAGUAAAGCCAGCUCUUUCCAGAAAACAAAAAAAUUAAAAAAAAAAAUUGUAAGUUUGAAAGGAGAAGAUGAUAGUGGAAGCGUGCAGUGUGGCUGCCAGCUAUUUGGAUUGUAUUGUCGGGUAAGGUAAUAGUAGAGAGAGAAUUUUUUAAGGAUCUAAAAUCGGGCACGUUGACUUUGUUGACCAAAUGGCACAGCCCAGAAAAUUUUUAAUACACUACAAGCAAGCUGUUUUAUUCCUCUCAUACUUUACGCUUGCAUCAGCUUAAAUCACUUCUUAAAUGCUUGCUUUAACCGAACCGCCUCGUACUAUUCUAUAUAUGUAACGGUUGCGCGGUUGUAGUUAACGGCUGAGGCUACGUGUUUGUUUGACGUGGUAGUUUUGUUACGACGUUACGAAUCUGUUGAACGUUCGGUGAUAGAGUAUUAUUUGUUAUUUUAAAGUGACAUAAAAUUAGUUACAAUACACCCGCUUGUUUUAUAAAAUAAAAAAUAAAUAAGUAAAUUGACUUAUAUUUUUAGUGGUUGAAUAUAUUUUGUGUUCUCUUGGGGCACUGUUGCAAUUGUUUCUUAAAUGUCAGUCACACCCACAUAUCAUUGACACAAGAAAUAGAAAUCUUAGAUCACUUGUUUAAUUAAAGAAUCACUCAUAAAAAAAUUUUGCCAUUUUGAUUUGAGGAUUCAUGUUUUGAACUACCAACUAAUGUUCAUCAAGGACAAAGUAUGGCUUGUAAGUAAAAAAAUUAUUUUUGGACAAAUUAUUUUUGUUGAUGGAAGAAUUUCUCAAGGGACUAUUUAAAUUAUUAAUAAAAAUGUCAGACACACCCACAUAUCAUCCCACAUAUCAUUGACACAAUUGAUUUUGAGAAUUCAUGUUUUGAACUACCACCUAAUGUUCAUCAAGAACAAAGUACGGCUUGCGAGUAGAAAAUUUUCUGAUUUUGGCCUAGAACAAAAAGAAAUUAAAUUGAAGGAGAAUCUACUACUUUCUCAUUAAGAAUGGCAUACGGGGCAUACGGGGCAUACCAUGGCACCAUACAACACCAGGAGUCUCCGUUCUCUGCUUUUUCAAACUCUGAAGGGGGCAAUAUUGUAAAAGUCAAACCAAGCUUUUGACAAAGAAAAGCUUUAUGAUAAAAGCUUGACAAAAUUGACCAAAACGUGUUAAAAUUUGGCACCAAACUUGGAAAUUUCAACAAACAUAUAGCUGGCAUGCAAGCUUUCUAUAGCUGGCAUGCAAGCUAGCACAAAUGGGCAAAUUGCCGUGUUGAAUUUUGGCCAUUCUUUAGGCUAUAAAUAGAGAAGUGAUGAGAGCUUGAAUUGCAUCCCGAAAACUUAAGAGCAUCCCAUUUAUUUAAGAGCUUAAGAGGAAUUGCAAGUGAAGCAAUUCUAGAGUUAUGAAAGUGUGAGCAAUUGGAGAGUGUGUGUGAGAGUGCUUUGGGUGUAUUUGGGUUUUGGGAAGUGAGGUUUUCAUUACUCAAAUAUUGUACUCCAAUAAUUGUUAGUAAUACAAUUAUUUUUCUCUUGCUCUCGUGGACGUAGGCAUAAUUGCCGAACCACGUAAUUAUUGUGUCCUUUAUUUUUCUGUGAUUAUUUGGUGCGCUUGAUUCCGCAUUCCGCGCACAAUAAGCGGUAUCAGAGCCGACGGUUCGUAUUUGGGGGGAUACGUACUGUUCACGUAUAUGAUACUAUUCACGUAUACGACACUAUUCCUAUAUACGGUACUGUUCACGAAUAUGGUAGAGACGGCCAUUUGUACUUGGGAGACAGUCUAUUGUAAGUAGUGUGUAUUUUUGCAUGUCUAGGAAAGUUCUGUGAACAAGGCGAUAAGAGUCUAAGGAUUCUGGUUUUUAAUUGGGACCGAGUUCCCGUCCAGUCUCCUGGGAACUUUCCCGGUGCAUUUAUUCACGCGAAAUUAACAUCAUAGAGAAUGUUUUUCAAGUGGAAUAGUUCGUUGAGAAAAUGGUAGAAUGUGAAACUUCCAGAAUUGGGGAGAGAUCUACCGAGACUAUUUCAAGAGAUACUUCAGGUGGGAAGCGAGAUUUGUCAAAUCGCUAUUCAACACCUGUUAUAGGAGACCAAAAGAUCGAUGUUGAAAAGUUUGAUGGGAAAAUCAACUUCGGCAUGUGGAGGCGCGAAGUUAUGGAUGCCCUUAUUCAAAUCGAUCUCGAUGUUAUUCUGAAAAAUAAAAAACACUUGUAUGAUGAAGAAAUUUGGGAUCGUAUGAACGAGAAAGCUUGUGGUCAGAUCAGAUCUUGUUUGACCAAGGAGGUGAAAUACUUGGUGAAAGAUGAGGAGUGUACGAUGACUUUGUGGCGUACAUUGGAGGAGAAGUACUUGCUGAAAAAUCCUGAAAAUCGUCUUCAUGCAAUUAGGGGUGGGCAAAAUAUCCGAUCCGACCCGACCCGAUCCGAUCCGAUCCAAAAAAUAUCGGGUUCGAAUCGGAUCAGAUUGUUGAUAUAACCCGAUCGGAUCAUGAUCGGAUCGAAUGAAACCCAAUCCGAUCCGAAAAACCGAUCGGGUUGCCAAAGAAAAAAAAAGAAAUUAAAGGUAAAAAAAGGAAACCUAAACCCAAAGACUAAAGAGCACAUGCACGUGAAGAACAUUCAACACUCUUUAAUAGCUAAAAGACAAAAUCACAUUUUAGCCAAGCUAAUAACAUUCUUCAGUUGCAUCAAAACGGAAAAAAAAAAGAAAAAAAACAGAGAAGACUCUUCCUCCCUUCCUCAACUUCUCAAUCUCAUCUCAAGAACACUCUUCACAAUUUCAUGCACACAACCACGCACACAUAUCGGAAAAGCAAAGGGCAGCCAGAUCGAUUUUUCCCGCAGUCACCGCUGACGCUAACUGCUCCGCGAGGACCGCAAAUGGAUCUGCUGCUACCGGAUUUGUUGCUACCAGAUCUGUUGCUACCGGAUCUGUUUCUACCGGAUCUGCUGCUACCGGAUCUGCUGCUCCACGCCGCCAUUCCUCCACCAUCACCUGAUCUGAUCCAAGAUCCAUUCAACCCGGUAAUUGCAAGGCUGCAACCCGAGUUUCCUUUUCCUCUUUUGAAGCUCUGUUGGUAUAAUAGUACUAUACCAGAUUGUUCGCCAUUUAGCAGUAAUAUAUCAUAUAUUAUUAUAUUACAUGUGAAAUUGUUAAUUUGUAAUUAUGUAUUGUUAAAUGUUAAUAAAAAAAUAAGAAAAUUGUAAAUCUGAACCCGAUCCGAACCGAAUUUAACCCUAUUUAUUGACCUGAUCCGAUCCAAUCCGAAUAUAUAUCGGAUCAGAUCGGAUCGGGUUAUAAGUUCGGGUUGUGUUCGGAUGAAUUUGUGUUCAACCCGAUCAAUCCGAAAUCCGAUCGGGUUGAUCCGAAUCCGACCCGAACCCGUAUUUGCCCACCCCUACAUGCAAUGAGCCAAGUAUAUGGCUUUCGAAUGAAGCCUGAGGUGUCAAUGCACGAUCAUGUCUCAAGAUUUGAAAAGUUACUUGUUGAUUUGAAGAAUCUUGAUGAAGAUAUUAAGGAUGAAGUCAAGGCUAUGAUUCUGUUACACUCACUACCAGAGGAAUAUAGUCAUUUUGUGACUACCUUGAUAUAUGGGAAGAGUGUGAUCGUCUUCAAAGAUGUUUGCACAGCAUUGACUAACUUGGAGAUUCGAAAUAAUGAUAAAAAUUCUGAACGAGCAUCGUCUGAAGCUUUGGUGAGCAGAGAUUGGGCGAUGGAGAAAAAGAAAAAGCGUGGUGGAAAGAAUUCUCGAUAAGCGUGGUGGAAAGAAUUCUCGAUCCAAAUCGAGAAGCAGAAAUAUAGCUCGAGACGACUGUGCCUUUUGUCAUGAAAAGGGUCAUUGGAGGAAAGAUUGUCCAAAGGCUCAAAAGAGAUAUGGGAAUAAACCAGCAGCAGCAAACAUGGCACAGAAAGAUGAGGACUCUGAUUAUUCACUAAGUAUUACUCCUGCAGCAUACAUGGCUAGUUCGAGCGAGUGGAUACUUGAUACUGGAGCAACAUACCAUUUGUGUCCUAUUAAGGAAUGGUUUACGGAUUUUCGUAAUCUGGAAUCCGGUGCAGUUGUGAUGGGGAAUGAUCAACCUUGUCGCACAAUGGGGAUAGGAACAAUUCGACUCAAAAUAUUUGAUGGAAUGAUCAGAGAACUCAAAGAGGUUAGAUUUAUUCCAACUUUAAAGAACAAUCUAAUUUAUAUGGGUGCUUUGGAAGCUAAAGGCUACAAGGUUACCAUUGAAGAUGGAACAAUGAAGUUUACACAUGGGGCUAUGGUGAUUAUGCAAGGGGUUCGACGUCACAAUUUGUACUAUUUGAAAGGAGGUACAACUGAUGAAGCAAAUGUUGUUGAGGUGCACAGUGACACCACCAAGCUAUGGCAUGUACGACUGGGACAUGCUGGAGAGAAGUCUUUGCAAACUCUGAUGAGGCACGGACUCUUAAAAGGUACUAAAACCUAUAAAUUAAAUUUUUGUGAGCAUUGUGUAGUAGGUAAGAAAACAAGGGUCAAGUUUGGUACGGCUAAUCACGAUACUCGUAAGAUCCUUGAAUAUAUUCACAGUGAUGUAUGGGGACCAACCAAGACUGCAUCAAUUGGUGGAAGCCAUUAUUUUGUUACAUUUGUUGAUGAUUUCUCUAGACAUAUGUGGGUGUACACUAUGCGAGCUAAGGAUGAGGUUCUAGAGAUUUUCGUGAAAUGGAAGAAAUUGGUGGAGACUCAAACUGGCAGAAGAUCAAAGUAUUACGAUAUGAUAAUGGUGGUGAAUAUACUUCUGAUCCAUUUUUGCAAGUAUGCUAGAACGAGGGUAUUAAAAGACAUUUCACGGUGAGACAUACUCCGCAACAGAACGGUGUGGCUGAGCGUAUGAAUCGUACUUUGCUAGAGAAAGUACGGUGUAUAUUAUCUCAUGCUGGUUUAGAUAAAACGUUUUGGGCUGAAGCCGUGAGCUACGCAAGUCACUUGAUAAACCGGUUGCCUUCUACUACAAUUGGAUGUAAAACUCCUAUGGAAAUGUGGUCUGGAAAGCAUGCACAAGACUAUGAUUCCCUUCGUAUAUUCGGGUGUCCAGCUUAUUAUCAUGUCAAAGAUGGUAAAUUGGAUCCUCGUGCUAGAAAAUCUAUCUUUGUGGGAUUCAAAGGUGGAGUAAAAGGCUUCAAGCUUUGGGAUCUCGAAGAUAAAAAGUUUGUGUGUAGCAGAGAUGUCACGUUUGAUGAAGCUUCAAUAAUGAAAGUUUCAAGUUCUCAGCAGGUGGAGAACAAGACCACAGAGGUAUUGCAACGGGUGGAGUUUGAUGCAACUCCAUAUGUACCAGUUAGUUCUACAUCAGAGAAUGAUUCAACUAUGGAGGUGACACCUAGGGUUGAAGAAGAUGUUGUUUUUUCUGAUGUCCCACAAAAUGCAGAAACAAUUGAAGAUGUAGAUAAUGAUGAUUUCAUUGCAACAAGGAGGCCAAGAAGAGAGAUAAAGAAACCCGGAUGGCUUACUAAAGACAUGGUGGUAGCAUAUGCACUUCCAGUUAUUGAUGAUGACAUCUCCAACACUUUCAGUGAAGCAUUACGCAGCAGUGAAAGUGAUCAAUGGAAGUUAGCCAUGGAGGAAGAGAUGAAAUCUCUCCAUCAAAACCAGACUUGGGAACUUGUAAAGUUACCAAAGGGGAAAAAGGCUAUUGGCAAUAAAUGGGUCUACACCAAGAAGCAAGGAUCUCCGAAUCAAUCAACUCCUCGAUAUAAGGCAAUGCUCGUUGCAAAAGGUUUUGCUCAGAAGGAAGGUAUUGACUACAAUGAAGUUUUAUCUCCAGUUGUAAAACAUACUUCCAUUCGUAUCCUACUUGCCUUAGUUGCAGAAUAUGAGUUAGCGUUGGCUCAAUUGGAUGUUAAGACGACGUUCUUACAUGGAGAUUUGGAGGAGGAAAUCUAUAUGAUUCAGCCUUGUGGUUUCAAAGUUGCUGGAAAGGAGAAUCAUGUGUGUAGAUUGAUUAAAUCUUUGUAUGGACUGAAGCAAUCGCCAAUGCAGUGGUACAAAAGAUUUGAUCAAUUUAUACAAGGGCAGAAAUUCACUAGAAGUGAACACGAUCAUUGUGUUUACUUUAGAAGACUACUAAAUGGAGCUUUCAUCUAUUUGUUACUCUAUGUCGACGAUAUACUUAUAGCUUCGAAGAAUAAAGAUGAGAUCGAGAGACUGAAGAAUCAGCUGGCUUCUGAGUUUGAGAUGAAAGACUUGGGUGAUGCACAGAGAAUACUUGGAAUAGAGAUUUGUAGAGACAAGAAGAAUGUGAGCGUAUAGUUGACUCAAAAGUCUUAUUUGAAGAAAGUGCUAGAAAAAUUCGGUACGGAUGACAAAACUAAACUGGUAUGUACACCUCUAGCUCCUCAUUUCAAAUUAAGCUCUUCUUCAUGUCCUACAUCUCAAGAAGAACGUGAUUAUAUGGCUCGUGUUCCAUAUGCUAGUGUUGUGGGUAGUCUUAUGUAUGUUAUGGUAUGCACAAGGCCCGAUAUAUCUCAAGCAGUGAGCAUGGUUAGUAGAUACAUGCACAAUCCGGGUAAAAAUCAUUGGCUUGCGGUGAAGUGGAUUCUCCGAUAUCUGUAUGGGACAGUUGAUGUUGGGUUAUUAUUUAAGAAGGAUUGUGGUCAACAAUGUGUUGGAUAUUGUGAUUCUGAUUUCGCCGGAGACCUAGAUAAGCGAAGAUCAACAACGGGCUACGUAUUCACAUUGGGUGGAGGUCCGGUUAGCUGGAGGUCGAUUCUACAAUCGACAAUUGCUCUGUCCACUACAGAAGCAGAGUACAUGGCAGCAACUGAAGCUGUAAAGGAAGCUAUCUGGUUGAAAGGCUUGUUAGGUGAUUUGGGAGUAAUCCAAGAGAACAUUGCGGUCUUUUAUGAUAACCAAAGUGUGAUAUUCCUCGCGAAGAAUCAAACAUAUCACUCUCGGACGAAGCACAUAGAUGUGAAAUAUCAUUAUGUGAGGGAGAUUAGCGAGGGUGGUGAUGUGUUGUUGAAAAAGAUCAAUACCAAGGAUAACCCAUCAGAAAUGUUGACAAAUGUGAUUUCUGGAGUUAAGUUUCAACAUUGCUUGAAACUAAUUCAAAUUCUUCGAAUGCAUUAAGUUUGGGAAAUUUUGAACUACGGUUGGCUUGAUCCCAAAUUUGUGGGUACGUAGGCAGUCACAGAGAUGCAGUCACUUUUGGGACGAUGGAUCGUUAGUAGUCGGCUCAGAUUUGGACAAAUUUUCGCCGAGGUGGAGAUUUGAGAUUUGUAAAAGUCAAACCAAGCUUUUGACAAAGAAAAGCUUUAUGAUAAAAGCUUGACAAAAUUGGCCAAAACGUGUUGAAAUUUGGCACCAAAACUUGGAAAUUUCAACAAACAUAUAGCUGGCAUGCAAGCUUUCUAUAGCUGGCAUGCAAGCUAGCACAAAUGGGCAAAUUGUCGUGUUGAAUUUUGGCCAUUCUUUAGGCUAUAAAUAGAGAAGUGAUGAGAGCUUGAAUUGCAUUCCGAAAACUUGAGAGCAUCCCAUUUAUUUGAGAGCUUAAGAGGAAUUGCAAGUGAAGCAAUUCUAGAGUUCUGAAAGUGUGAGCAAUUGGAGAGUGUGUGUGAGAGUGCUUUGGGUGUAUUUGAGUUUUGGGAAGUGAGGUUUUCAUUACUCAAAUAUUGUACUCCAAUAAUUGUUAAUAAUACAAUUAUUUUUCUCUUGCUCCCGUGGACGUAGGCAUAAUUGCCGAACCACGUAAUUCUUGUGUCUUUUAUUUUUCUGUGAUUAUUUGGUGCGCUUGAUUCCGCAUUCCGCGCACAACAAAUAUUCCCUAAUUUCCCCUUGAAAAGUAUUUCUCCAUCUCUUUUUCGAAAUUUCACAAUAAACCGGCACAUUGUAAAAGUUAUGUUCUAACCUUAUGAUAAAUGCUCUAGACUUCAAAUGGAUUUUAUAUAUGAGAGUUUGUUGCAGCAGAUAUAUUGACUUAUCAAAUAUGAAUCAUUGUCUCGAUGAACUAUCUUUAGAUAAAAGAAUAUUAGAACCACUGUAGAAUAUCUUUACCCUGCUGGUUCUAACAAAAAUCUGCAUGUGGCAGCAAUUACUAGAUCUACAAUUUCCCAAAUAAUAUUUUGUGUUUCUUAAAAAAUUUGAAAUACAUAGUUGCACACCGUGAGACAGUGCUACAAUCUACUGAGAUCUAAAUUAUAUGAGACCUUAAGCUACUAAUGUUUGCAUAUUUCUACACGUCAAAUUAACAUUACCAUCUAUAAUCCAAAACGACAGAUGAUAAACGGCUUUUGGCCACUUAUUACUAGCAUCCACAAAUAAUUAUUUUGCAGCAAUCAGCUUAUUUUAUAGAAAUUGAUUUAGUCAGCAACAAACACUAUAAUUCUUGAAAUUAAUUUUUGUUCUUUGUAAUUUUCUAUGGUUUUUCAUAAAUCAAUUAAUCUGCAGUGCCAAGAUGAGGUUUAGCUUUUCAAACUAAAUAAUCAAGCAAGCAAAAAUACAAAUUCAGAGAUUAGGGAGUGAACUAGCUAGGUGGUUUAGAACUGGGCUGGCUAGCUCACUAUAUUCCAAUUUGUACAGUGAAUUCAUUGAAUCAUGAGAAAACAAUGUGGUCAUAGCUCAAUAUGAGAUGAUUUCGGAAGGGCAUACUGUUUCCAAGUUAAGUUGAUCCAUUAAGAGAUGGAGUGGUAGGGGUGUCAAAAAAGCCCGCUCGGACCGGACCCGCCAAUCCGGUCCGGGCAAAACCCGAACCGCAUGCACAUAAAAACCGGACCCGGGUUUGAAAUUCUCAAACCCGGACAUUUCCGAGCCCGGGUCCGGGUUCAACACAAAAAAUCCGGAACCCGGACCGGACCCGGUUUUUUAAUAAAUUUUAAAAAAAAUAAAUAUAUUAUAUAUAAAUAUAUAAUUAUGAAUUUAUGAUAUGUUGGAUGUUAUUUAAAUUUAUUGUGUGAUUAUUGUGUUGUUGAAUUUAAUUUAUUUAUUUUAUAUAUAGAUUGAAUGAGUUUAAGUUAGAAAUUGGAUGAAUUUAGGUAUUAGAAAGUAGAUUGAAAUAAUUUUUAUUUAUCAUUUGUGAAAAAUUUGCAUUGUUAGUGUGUUAUAUAUUUGUAUUUGACUAUUUUCUUUUUUAAAGUUUGAGAUUGAAUGAGUUUAUUUGAUUAUUUUCUUUUUUAAAAUUUGUAUUGUUAGAGAAAUGAAAGAAAAAAUUGAAGAAAAAAAAUUGAAGUUAUCACAUGCGGGUUUAAAAAAUCCGGAUCAAAACCCGGACCCGGAAGGUGCCGGGCUCAAGCCCGGACCGCACCCGGAAAAACCGGAUUUUAACCCGGAUCCGGUCUUGCAUUUCUCUCAUCCGGUCCAGUCCCAGGCAACACCAAAACCUAUGGAGUGGAUUGUGUGGAAAGUCUAAAUAACAAAUCCUUGUUCUUGAGUUUUACGACGUCGUUACUCCUUCAAGCGGCAGAUUAUGCAAGUGAGUUAAAAAACACAAUGCAUCAAUCACGGGGAUGCUACAUCAAAAAGACGGGAUCAUAGUGUCUAUGCAUUGAACAGUUACAGUUGCUGCUACAUCAAAAACACAAUGCAUCAAGAACACUUUCGCUCUGUCUAUAUCCUUAUUGACCCCAAAAAGGAUUAAUAAUUGAAGACGACUAUACAGAGUUAAUCUCACACUUUCGUUCUCUCAAUUUCUUUCAGAUGUCCCUCUGAAAAUAGCUGCCAAAACAGUUGGUAAGCUUUUAUACUCUGUUUUCUGGAAACAGAGUCCUAACUAACUGAACUGACGGUGCAGAGUAUGUCAACAUGCAUAAUUAAUCGUUUUAACAGUAUUUUUGAGUUGUCUUCGCAGUGAUCAUCAACAAACUCAUCACAAGAUUUUUGGAGCACCCUAGGACUAUCACUAGAUUCUAAAAUGACUAGUUCACUAUUCUUUUACAGUCCUUUCACCAGUAAAAUUAUUCGACUUCUGGAACUGGGAAUGAAGUGCAAUGAUGGAGCAACAUUUACAAUGUCUCUGGUUUCUCCUGACUCUCAGAUUUUUGUAGUGAGAACAUAUAACAAAAAAAGGCCUCCAUCAACAUAUGUAGACUCCGGGAUAUGGAUUGGAUCGAGUUUUUGUUUGAUAUUGAAGAACCUCUUUACUAUCGCGAUUUAGAAUAUGUGCAAGGAGUUGUCUACCGUUUUUUGCCUUAUGCUAUGAUCGGUGCUUUUGACGUUGCCCUGAAACGGUGGAAAAUACUUCGAUAUCCUCCGUUUGAUGAUGCAAAGAACUGGUUAAUGUACGAUUACCUAAUUGACUCUGGAUCAAGUAACAACAACAAUUUAUUAAUAGUAAUAGCAUAAACUAAGAAGAUUUUGGAGAGGGAGAUGUAUGCGUAUACUGUUUACAGGUUUGAUCCAUUGGGGAUGAAGUGGUCUCAAGUUGAAAGUGAUUUAUUAAAUAACAAGUCAUUGCUCUUGGGUUAUACCUCAUUAUGUCUUCAAGUGGAAGAUAAGAUUAUGCAAGAUGAAGAUCGAGUUUUAGUUUGAUAUUGAAGAAUUUGAACAGAGAGCCCAUAGAAAGUACCUAAAUAAGCAUAUUCUUGAGGUAAAAUAUGGAGGAGGAGUUGUUUACUGUGUGCUGCGUAGUUAUGCUAUGAUCGGUGCUUUCGGCAUUGCGCAAACAGUGGAAAAUACUUCAUUUCCUCGACAUGAUAAUGAAAAGAAAUUGGUUGCCGAUUACCUAAUUGACUCAGGUGGCAACAAUCUAUUAAUAGCACAAUUUGAUGUGAUGCCAGUUAGGUAUAUGAUUUAGAGGUUUGAUUCAUCAGUGAUGAAGUGGACUGAAUUAAAAGUUUAAAUAAUAAGUAGUUGUUAUUGGGCAUAUCCUCAUUACUAUUUUAAGUGAUCAAAGAUGAAGAUGAAAAUUGUGCAAGUGAGUUCAAGAAUACCACACAUCAUUACUUCGGAUACUUCUUCAAACCUGGAUGGGGUUAUAAUUUACUCCCACGAAUUUCAACCCAAUUUUAUGAUUGGAGUGUCUCACCAUGACUCAGAAAAAAUUCUGAUUCAACCUCCUCCACCAAUGGAUUUUGAUAAAGUUACUUUGUGAUCAAGCAUAAAUUCACAGUUUGAUUUUGUUGCUACCACAUUUUUUUUAAAAUGUGGCCACGUGAGGAGAGCGGACCAGAGUGUCACUUCCUCAACAAGCACUUUAAAGAUGGACUUUAGAAGAAGAUAUAACUGCAAUUGUUUUCGUGUGUGUGUGUAUACAAAACUACAGAACAUUCAGUUCAUAAAAGAAAUUUUUGCUAACCAUGAUAUGUGGUAGUGUUUUUUAGGCAAUGUAGAAACAGAGUUGUUCAACUUACAACAGAUAUUCUCCUCAAGUUCGACUUAAUUAAUCUUACGAUGACACAUAUAACUUGCUUCAAAAUUAGAAAUUAUAAAUUGCCGAUUUACAAUGCAUAUAACUUGGAAGAAUUGGUGUUAAAAGAACAACUACACGCAUAACUUGGAGAGCAAUUGCGACAGUAGCAAAGGAUAUAUUAACUAAACUGGCCAUUGAGCAAUUAAGAGGAGCCAUCAAACAUCUUACUAGUUCUGGCAGCAGUUUAUUAACUAAAAUAGCAAUAUGAUGUGAGAAAAAGGAACAUACGUAGACAUACUUGGCAACAGUUCAUGAGAAGUAGCAUCGCAUUAAGGUAAUGACUUUACUGCCGUUAUCGUGCAAGGUAAUACUUCAUUUCUCCCUUUCUUUUUUUCACUUUAACAAAGUUGAAGUCAGUGAAAUUAUGACUCGACAUAAAAAAAAAGUCAGUGAAAGGCCAAUACCCUACUACAACAACAGGUACAAAUUAAAAGCUUCAUUCUAGAAAAGAUGACGCAUUAUUCUUUAUCCCUAAGGCUUAAGCCCACCACAGUGGAAUUUCAUAUUAAUUUCCGAAUGACUCGAGCAAUUCUUGAUUCAAACUCGUCCACCAAGCUGGGAUUUCGAUUGAGUGAGUUACCUUCUGCUCAAGCAACUUAAAGUCGUCGUUUGAUUUUGCUGCCACCCCAUUUUUUAAAAUUAAUUUCAAUUCCACCUCAAGGAAUUCUUAUCACUGAACAGUUGAAGUUAAUUUACUUUGAACUUUUGAAAAUUAUAUUUUUGAUGUUUUGCACUUUAUGGUUACUUAAAAUAAAAUUUGACGGUGUUUCUAUGAUUAAUUAUUUGUGAUAGUCUGUACUUAGCAAGAGUUCACGAGAAGUUUGUCUAAAUGCUCUUCACUAGAAGGACUAUAUCUUAUUAAUAAAAAUCUCUUGGGGAAGAUUCCACGCUGGUUGGAUAAUCUCUCAAUGUUAAAGCAUAUUAUAUUGUCCAAGACCUAUCUUGAAGGUCAACCUAUUCCAUUGGAGUUUUGUCAUCUUUAUUCUCUUCAAAUUUUGGACAUUUGAAAAAACAAUAUAUUUGGAAAUUUACUAUUUUUUUUCCACUCUCUCCCUAAUUAACAAGUUCACUUGUCGAAUAAUAUGUUACAUAGGCAUCUAAAAUGAAAGUACAUUUUCUAAAUGCUCUUCCUUAGUGACAUUAGAUCUUAGAUAUAACUGUUGUUGAUGCUGAAAUCUGCUCGCCUUUUACCCGACCAGAUCUUUUCACCAACGUUUAUGUGGUCAAUCGAGAAAAUGUCGCCUUCUUUCUGUUUCAACGAUUGCUUGAGUCCCUGGGACUAGAACCACCCUUUUUCUUCUUUCUGAUGCCUAUGUUCACAAAAACAGAUCAGAGACGCCGAUGGUUUUACCGACGUAAACCCUCCGAUGCUUAAGUUAGCACGAGAUGUUUACGGGAAAACUAUGUAAUUUAGAUUGUGUGAUUUCUUAAAAUACUCUCACAAAUUUGUAUGGAAUGUAAUCUGGUUUCAAUUUGGCAGAGUUUUCCCUUUGCUCUCAAUUUUUUCUGUCUCCUUUUUCAUCGGUUUCCUGGCUUCUUAUAGCCGUUGUCCCACGUUUCUGCGUACUCUUCAUGCCCCCCUUUUUCGAGUGAUGGCAGACCCUCAUGGGUCUCCAACCACUGGAUUGUGGGUAAACGUGGAAUGCCAUGUCUCUCCCAACAGUUCGGGAUAUAGUGAAACUGUCGCAAUUUCGUGAGAUCGUGUGCCCUUUCUUUGGGUGAUGGGUAUCUGGUCGGUAUAUGUCUCUGGUUGGUGCUCGUCUCUAGUUGGCACAUGUUUGUAUAAGAUGUUUUAUCAGGACUCUUCUUGUGCCAUUCAGUUGAGGAGAUUCGCCUCGGGGUGGGAGAUGAGGGCAUGGCCGAGCUGGUACUUUUUAUUACUUAACAACUGCUUGAAUGACAGCAUUUUGAGAUUUGGUUGUUAACUUUCUCAAUUAAGAAACCUUAUCUUGACUCCCAAUAAUCUUGAAGGUGAAAUGCAAUUUCAGUUGUGCUAAUUGUACCAAUUGCGAUUAAUAGAUCCUUCAAAUAACAAAUUUUAGAUAACGUUGCACUUCAUGAUAGAAUGUAAGAUAAAACUUGUUUUUUUUUUUCUUUUUUAUAGUAUUGACAUUUGAACGCUAUCAAAAUAGAAUGUAAGAUAUUGUUCAUACUACAAUAUUAUUGUAGCAAAACUAGCUGAUAGCAGUAUUCAUACUACAGUGCUAUUGUUUCUAUCAUAGUAAUAUUUUGUUGGUGGCUAAAUAUUAUUUUUUUUAUUAAAUAAAAAAGUGGGUAAUACUCAAAUUAAUUUUUAAUUUCCAAUCUCUCUCGAGUUCUCAAUUCAAGUAGCCAAUCAAAUAAAAAUAUUUAAAAUUAAUUAGAUCAUCCAUGGGCCUUUUUUUUUUUUUUUUUUUCAAAGGAGAUGGAUUCUUAAAACUACAGGUAAUGAAAUUAACUAACAAAAACAGGUUUAAAUGUCCAUUUUAAAUUUUUUUAAUAAUUUUUUGUUUACUAUUUUACCAGCUAUAUAAAGAGUGCCACGCCAAUACAUCAAUUGAUUUAGAAAUUACAUUUGGGGUUUUUUUAAUCAUAUAAAGGUGAUUAAAUAAUUUUGUAAAAUUCAUUUGGCUUGCACUUGGUCGCCUCUGUUCUCUGAAUGGUCAUGACGUUAUCAUCAUCUUCUUCUUCACUUGUACUAACAUUAAAUUCUUCUUGUUCACUUGUACUAACAUUUUAAUUUCCAAUCUUUCUCAGCUAUAUAAAGAGUACUCUUUCUCGGAUUCUAGGUAGUCCCACACAGCUCCAUCUCACUCCAAUUGUCACCCAACAAGACCAAUCGCUUAAUCAAGACACAGAACAAAAAGAGGAUGAGAAAUUGGAACAAGAACUUGAGAAUUGGAAAUCGAAAACGUACGCAUUGACCGUGCCUUUGAGAGUCGUUUCUCUUCAGAAUUCAAUACCUUAAUCUUGGGUUAAGGAUUUUAUGCGAAGUCAAGGAAAGAGAUUGAGUUCUCAGAUGAAUUUGUGUGCUAGCAUUGAUGGGAUCUUAACAAUUUAUCUGUGCCUUUUAACAAAGUUAAGGCUAAGUCAGCUCUUAUAUGGCUGCUGAUUUGGUUAGUGUUGGUGAUCCAUGGCUCAGUUUUGCGAUUAAAAAGAGAUUGAUUGAACCAAUAGUUGGAGCUGAAGAUCAAGAUUGGUUCAAAUGCUUAAGUCACAAAUGGAAGGUAACAUCUUUAUCAUUGUCCCGAUAUUUUUUAUUGUCUUACAUUGAAGUUUGGUAAUGGAAUUUGUUCUCUAUUUAUUUCCCUUUGUAGUCAUUUUAUUUAUUUUUUUGUUUGCAUUUAUUUGCACUUACGAAGUCUCAGGUAUAUCUACGCAGGAAUGAUGCAGGAGAAAUUGAUCCUCUAGGUAAAAUAUGCGCGGCACCAUAUCAGUGGGGCACAGCGGUGAUAGCUUACAAGGAAAGUAAAUUUCGAAAGCUUAAUUUGGCUCCGAUUGCGGUAAUAAUUGUCUUUAAACUCAUUUAGUUUUAUAUCAAACAAAACCAAGACUGCCUUUCUCUUCAAUAUUUUUUAUGAUAAUAUCUUUAGAAGCAUCUUAUUGAUGGGUAAUAAUGGUACCCCUUAAAGAGUUUAUAAACUCAAUGAUAUUAUCUUCUGCAAAUGGUUCAUUAAACUUUGUCGUUGUAGUCAAAUGUACACUCAGAGCAAUGAGAAGCUAUGCCACUGUAGCAUGUAGUGAUGGCACUUAAUAAGUGAGUUGCUAGGAUGUGAACUAGAAAAAUUAAAUAUUGUCUCCCUGGGUAUGCUAGCUCAUAAGUCAGGGUUAAUAUUAGAACUCAAGAUACUUUAACCAUGAGAAGCUAUUGACUGCCAAUUAAAAUAUCCUUUAAAAUGUCUAGGAAGUUAUGAAGGUGGAAGUAUCUUCCGAUUUCUAAGGCCACAUGGUAGAUAUCAUCCAGGAUCCUAGUACAGUGCAGUUAUCCUCCUGCUAGAUGCAAUUAAUAAAUUUGGUCAAUGCCACUGAAACAUGCUAACUGACGUCACAAUGCGACAUGAGCACUUCAAAAUGGGACAGACGGUCGGUAGCACUAAAUUUUUCUUGCCUAAGAUUGAGCAAUUGGUCUAACUACUAACCCCUUUUGUAGGUUGAUCAUUAUUUUUUCAAUUGUUUUCAGUCUGACCCAAAAUGUUACAGAAUCUUGAUCUGAAUAUUGUCACUGAACACUGUCAAUGUCGUUUAGCGUAGCCAACUAACUUGAGUUUGGUAAAACAAACACACAGUGUGUCUCAUGUCUCACAAUUCAAAUUAUCAUUUGUAAUGAUGGAGAAUUUUUCCAAUGUAUGAAGUAUGCUUUGAUACGUGGGUUACCUUGGAGAAGGUAUCUCAAAAUAAAGAAUAUGGGGAGAAAACAGUUCAGUAGUUUAUUAUUCUGUAGUCAAGUUUUGUCUCAAAAAUGGUCCAAAUUUAAAUGAAUAAGGACAGGGGAUCUUCAUUCUUUUUUCCCUUUUUUAUACCGAGAUAUCUCUCAACCUUUACAUAAUCCCCACUGGAUAUCUGCUUCUAAUAAUUAAAAUAAAAAUUUCACCCACACAAAUAAUGUAAUACCCCACACCCGAUUAUUUUUUUACUCUCCACCUAUAUAAAUUGAGCGCGAUUAAAAGUUCGAGUAGUCGGAUGUAUUUUCAUCACGGGACCGGUAUAAGUUUAAUUUGUAUCAAGUUUAAGUGGAAAAAAAAAGAGAAAGAAAAAGAAAUCGGGUUUUAUAUAUGGAAAUGGGGGAAACUGUUUUUGAUUUACAAAGAAAGAGGGAGAAGGCACGAGAGAGAGAGAGAGAGAGAGAGAGUGUUUGACCCGGUUUGACCCGCAACCCGACCCGGAACCCGCGACCGUGACCCGGAAUUUUCUCUCGAUUCCGGCCACCUCACCGGCCGUGCUUGGUACCGAUUUGAAGCUUGGAAGCCGCCCGACCUAUCCCCGCUGUCCUCGUUGCCGGAAACUGACCAGAACGCCGGCGAUUUGAGCUCGAAAACUCGCGGCCAAGGCUCGUUUUUGCCGCCGUCGAUUUCGCCGGAUUUUGGGCACACUUCCAGCUGGGUUCUACUCCUCACGUCACCAGCAUCAUUUUCCGACCAACCUCGUCACCUGAAACGGCCGGAUUGCCGGCGAUCAACCACUUGGGAAGCUCGUGGUUUUUGGAAGCUCGAUUUGCCGCCGCUGCCGCGCGUGGAAGGUCACCACCGCCACCAUUGGACUCAGCAUGGCUUGAACUUUCAGUUCUGAGCUUCUCGUCGCCGUCGGAUGAAUUCCGGUGACCGUUGACCGGCAAGGGUAUUUUGGUAAUUUCACAGUCUAAGGGCAAUUUUGUAAUUUCAGAUUUUGUGGGUAUUUUAGUAAUGGCUGUAAUUGAGGAUAAAGUUGGUAAUUUAUGAUUUUGAGGUUAAUUUGGUAAUUUUGAUAUGAGGGUAUUUUGGUAAUAUUGAAUUCAAGGGUAAUUCGGUAAAUUCAUAAAACUUGAGGGUGAAUCUGUAAUUUGUGGAAUCAUGGGAUAAAUUGGUAAUUUUAAGUUAGGGCAGUGUGGUAAUUUGAGAUUACGAGGGUAAUUCGGUAAUUUAAGACGUUAAGGACAUUUCGGUAAUUUUAUGCCCCAAGGGUAAUUUCGUACUUUCGGACAAUGUGAUUAAUUUAUGUAAUCUGAAUUGAGGACAAUAUGGUAAUUGACGAAUAUGAGGAUAAUUUGGUAAAAUAAUGAAGUUUGAGGAUAAGUUGGUAAAAUAUUGAUGUUGGGGGUAUUUUGAUAAUUUUGGCAUGUAGGGGUAUUUCGGUAAUUUUGUGCAUGCGGGAAUAGUUUAUUGUUGAUAAAUAUUCGUUUCGAGAUUUAUUAUAUAAAAUUGGUUGUAUUUCAAGUUUACGGAGAAUGUUUAUGUCGUUUCCCUGAUUAGGAGGAUCUGCGAACGAGAAUCAACCCGCGGACGUUGUUGAUACCGAGUCUAGACAUCAUCACUGUGAGUGGAAUAUACAAAACCUAUUUUCAUAGUAUAUGCUGAUUUUAUGAUAAGUAUUUAAUGCUUCGAUUAAAUGAUUUUCCGGCAAAUUAAUUUUUAUCUAUGUGUCGGUCUUUAUUGUUAUUGAGAAUGAGUUUGAUUAAUGAUUUUAUUAGCGUUUUUGAGUAAAGGCAUGAUAUUAGAAUUGAGCAGAUUUUGAGAUAUGUUGAAUAGAAAGAAAAUGAGAUUUCAGAUGAGAUUCUAUGUUUAUGUAUAUGUUAUUUUUGAAAUCAUUAGACAGUACCCUUCCCUCCAGAUACAGAGAAACAGAUAAUAUGAGAUGAGAAAAGAGAUACAGAUAAGAUGAGAUAGAGGCCUUUGGGGCCCGUCAGGACACACAUAGAGGCUUUGGGCCGUGUGUUCGGGCGCUUUUGCCUUUUGGGGGCUUAUGCAUGCGCAGUACAGAUAUAUCAGAUAUGAGAUGAGAUCGUCCCCAUCUAUCCGUUGUAGCUCCGGGGCGUGACGUUACCCAGAUAGUACGUCAUUGCCCGUCCGUCGAGGUCCGGAUAUGAUCAGAUUAUCCCCUGGGUACUUGCUUGAUGAUAGUUUUCAGUAUUCAGUAUUUUAUAUGAUAAGUAUUAUGAUUCCAUUGAAUUUAUGCAGAUUUUAAUGUGAUAUAGUAUUUCAAUGAACUAAUUUGAACUUAAUAAGUUUAUGUAAGUUCUUAUGAUAUUUUGAUGAAAUUGUCUGAGCAAAUUGAUUUAUGAAAUUGAUUUGAGGAAGUGAUUUGAGAAAGUGAUUUGAGAAAGAUUAAAUGAUUUUAAAUAAAUUUAUUAAAUUGUCAGCAACUACUAUCCACUCACUGAGCUCACUGAGUUUUAUACUCACCCCUCUUUUAUUAUAUUUCCCCCCCCCACAGGAGAUUUACAGGUACAUCAGUCAACCUAGUAGCGAACGUUAGUGUGAUAUUGUGGCCACGUGAUGGUGCUAGGAGUCGUGAAUUUAAUUAUUAUUAUAUUUGGGAUUUUUGCGAGUUGUGUUUAUUUAUUAUUUUAUGUUAUUAAGGAUAAUCGAUGUAUUUUAAUAUUAGGAUGAUUUGGAUGAUGUUUGAUAUAUUGAUUUGAGAAGUUGGUUAUGGAGGAUGGUUGGAUAUUAAAUUAUUUUGGGAGUGUUGCUUUAUAAUUUGCAGGAUUGGAUAUGUUUUAUUUAUAAGGGAGAUUCUGCCGAAAUUUUUAUAGAAUAGUUUCGAUUUUACGAGUUUAGAUAGACUCGCCCUGGGGAGUUGCGGGGCGGGUCGUUUCAAAUAAAUACUGACCAAGCUCUAACAAUAAAAAGUAACAUCUUUAGUCAAGUGAUUUACAGUUCCUCAUCAUCUUAGUGAGACUAUCAGUAUGUUCCAAAAACAUUAUAAAACUGGUUUGUUCCUGUUUAUUGAUGUUUAAAUGAUGUUCAUUGUGACAUGUAGAAAUGAUGAGGCGAAGUUUAUUUGGCCAUCAAUUUGUAAGAUCUUGUUUGAAGUUGUUUUCUGAAAUGAACUGCCAAAUGGUAGUUUUUUUGGGCAUUUGAUGGCUCUUUUUUCCUCAUUUUAAACAUGUGCCUGCUUGGAACAAGAAGGAUUAGGCUGCAGAGUUGUUAUAUAUUUUGACAUGCUCUGGUCAUUGCACAAUUUGUUCACACUGGAAACUAGAAUGAGAAAUUUGUUGCAUUCUAUGCACAAUAACAUGAUUCAUGAAAAUGGAUUGUAGGACUGGAAAGAUCUGUGGCAGCCUGAGCUCGCAGGACGAAUUUCAAUGGUUAAUUCUCCCCAAGAGGUUAUUGGUUUAGUUUUGAAGUAUAUGGGAGCGUCAUACAACUUGAUUCGCAAGUUGCUGGUGGGAAGAUUGCUGUUCAGCAGAAUCUGGCAUUACUGGCAAACCAGGUACUCUCAAAGAAAUGAUAUCUGGUCAUUGCAUGUUAUUGCCUGACAACUGAUUUUGUUUGUAAAAGUCUGCUUCUUCAUACAUAUGAAUGCAUAUGUUUGUGUUUUCUUCUCCUUUUCAUACAUAUGAAUGCAUAUGUUACUUCUUUUCCUUUCCAUACAUAUUAAUACAUAUGUUGGUGUUCUCUCCUGAGAUGGAUGCAAUAAAGGCUUUUCUGAAGAAAUGGCAAGGGAUGUGAGAUUCUGUCUCAUAAAAUUAACAAAAACCCAAAACAAUGAAAACCCAUAAUAAUGUGGUGUGGGUAAAUUGACACCAUUUGGUUCGUUUCCUUGAUUUGAAUACGCGGGCAAUAGAGACUAACAAAAUGAAGUGACAACAAGAAGUCAGUGUCCUUUGAUGGAUGCAUUUUUAGGCAGAAAUAGGUUUGUAAUUGACCAAAUUUGUCUGGCAUGCCAAUUUCAAAAAAAUUAAAUUAUGUGGUUAUUAGCUGUAAUGAAGGGGGAUAGUUGGUCCAAUCAGGUGGAUCCAGGAAAGUUCAACAAAGUUCUGGUAUGGCGUAGAAAUUGGUUUGUGCAACUCAAGAGUCUUUCUGGUGAACGAUGAUGGGUUUUGAUUUAUAAAUGUUAUAAAUCUACUGUGCAUAGUAUUCUAGUAGAAUCAUCUAUAAGUUCUAGUUAUUGAAAUUGUCUACCUUGUUCAGUUUGAGUUAAGGGCACAUGUAAUAUGAAAAAUAGUUGUCGCAUCUUUUAGGUUACCUAACAUUUGAUCAAUCCUAUUAUGAGGGCUUCAAGAUGUCUAACAAUAUGUGGAAUGCCCAUGCUCCUCCCCAUUGUUUAUCUUAUAUAAUAAUUUGUUUUCGAUGCUAAUAUCUUUGUCGAUACCGGUAACAAUAUUAUAAUAUCUGCGUUUAUUGGGUUUUACAUAGGUUCGACUGUUUGACAGUACACACUAUCUGAAGGCAUUUGGAAUUGGAGAUGUAUGGAUUGCUGUUGGGUGGAGUAGUGAUGUUCUUCCUGCUGUCAAACGUAUGUCUAAUGUUGCAGUUGUUGUUCCCAAGUCUGGUGCUAGCUUAUGGGCUGAUCUUUGGGUAUACCCAUGCCUGCCAUUCUACUUCAAUAUUCACAUUGUUAUCUCCUUCAUAUUAGCGAUCAGUAAACACGAUAAUGUGACUAAUAAGUUUGUAUUCUCUUUAUAGCCAAUCCCUGCUGCCUCAAGACUUGAAACAAAACAAAUUGGAGGGCGAGUCAGAGGUCCAUUUCCAUUAAUCCAUCAAUGGAUAGAAUUCUGCUUGCAAACAGCAUGAUCAUUGCCUUUCAAGCAAGAGGUUAUCCCGAGCGCAUCUCCCUCUGCUCUUGAGAGUACUCUGGUUAAGUUGCCUGAAGAACUUUUGAAGGGUAAACCAAGUCUGGAUACUAACUUAAUUGCGGGAGUACCCCCGGCUGAAAUUCUGGCCAGAUGUGAGUUUUUGGAGCCAUUAUCUGAAGCUACUUUGUCAGAUUAUGAGUGGCUGGUUGCUAAUCUGCAAAAACCUGCUCCUGUCUUGAUGAAAAGGGUGCAACGUUACUUGUCAUCAUUAAUCUUUAGCUAAAGGUACAUUGAAAAGUUAAUGGCACUGCAUACCAGUCAUUAUAAUUGGGUCAGGGCAAUUAGGUCAGAGCAUAACUUCAUUAGGAAAAGAGGCUUCAGCUACGUUAAAUAUUACAGGAUGUACAGAGAUGGCUGAAGUUGUUGAGGUUUUACGAGAAACGAAAGAUGAGUGUUUGUUUGAACAAAGUUGUUGCCAAUCUUGCAGAGUUCGAGAAGAAAGAUCACAGAGCGAAUGCCACCGAUUUCUUCAUCAUUGUAGCCUCCAUAGUUGAAGUUUCCUCAUUUGAAGCUGUUUAUGCAUUAAGCUUAUUCCCUGCUCAAGUACAGGAAACUGAAGAAUUAACCAGACAUGAUAUGCUGAAAGAGGGAAGUUUUCUUCCUUGAAUGUGGCCUUGUGAUUUGUAGUGAAGUAAUAGGAUGAUCACUAGCAAGAACCCUAUCAAGGUAGACUUUAUAAUGUCAACAUAUUAUUAAGCAUUUGUCAAUUUAGCACUUUCGCAAUGAUACAUUCAUAGCAUGAAAUUAAUUAUAUGAUCCUGAUUAAUCAAUUAAUCUUCAUGAGAUUUAACCUAGUUAAAACUAAGUACAAUCAUCGUUAACAAAUACUGAAAUUGGGUAAAUAUGAUCUCGACAUUGAAGAAUUUGAAAACACAACCCACAGAGGAAAUUACUUAUUGCAUGGGGAUGGAGAUGGUUACUGCAGGGAUAUAGAAUAUGUGCAAGGUGUUGUCCACUGCUCGUUGGGUUAUGGUGUGACUUGCGAUUUCAAGGUUGCCCUGAAACAAUGGAAAAGAUUAACAUAUCCUCCAAUGAAUAAAAACGGCUUGACUAAUUCAAAUUACUCAGGAUCAGGUGGCAAUAAAACAGUCCAUUUACUUUUCCAGGAUCAGAUGUUGAUAAUAAUAGUUUAUUAAAUGAAAAAUCAUUGUUCUUGGGGGUUGGUUGUAUACGUCAUUACUACUUCAAGUAGAAGAAAAAGGUUGUGUAGGUGAUUUCAGAAAUAAAAUACAUUCUGAGAGAUGAUGGUCCACUAUUGCAUGCCCCCCAGAUUUAAUAAUCAUCACUUUUCCUUAAAAAACUGCUACGCUUUGAUUUUAGUGCUGAAUAUUUAUUGAACUCUGAUAGAGGGAGUUUGAAGUCAAACUCGUAAUUACAGGUUAUCUAAUUGCGAGUUGCUGUCCAUAGCUGUUGAUUUGUAGUGAUUAUUUAAUUGACUGAGGUAACAACAAUUUUUUUUUUAAUUUUCAGUAAAAUAAAUUCUCCUAGUUAAUUUGUUUCAAGUUAAAUUAUUAAUUACUUAAACUCUGUUUUAAGUCUUUAAUUUUAUGUCUUGGCGUAUAUGCAAAAUUGGAUUCUUGAGCGUGCUGGACACGACCAACAAUGAAAUUGACAGUAAAUAAACAUUACAACGUGUGGACUCCGGUAGCUACAAGUCUACAACUUCACAAAUAAUAAUUGAGUAAGCGCCUUUGAUUCUCGGGACCCUUCAAUGAAUUUCUAGUCCCGUUGACUCCGCCGACUAAAGUUCUGUUAAAAAAAAAAAUACAUAGAAUUCCACCAAAUGCAAAACGCGUGGAAUUUAAUUUUCGGCCAUGUGGACCGAAACAUAAUUUAACAAAAAAAGAAAAAAAAUGAUAAGAUUUCUAAAACGUGUGGAAGGUGAUCCAUAUUUUACUGAAACGACUUGUUAAAAUUUUCAAAGAUUUAGAAUAUUUGGUUAUAAAUUACGCUCAUGUUAAUUUUUCUGCCAUUGACUAUCAUAUUCUAGACUUAAUGGUACCUUUCUUGAUGAAGGGUACUUAGUCUCUCUUCUCGUCUUAUAAAAAUUAUAUUAAUUGAUUUCUUGUUAUAAUUAAUAGUCUUUAGGAACGGAUAACUUUAUUGUUUUCAUGACCAAAUUAUGCCUCCUAAGCUUGCGACUAUUAAUAAAAUUAAUAUUUAAUAUUUAUGUUAAAAGAUAUAAGAUUUUAUGCAUUCAUUAAUUGUUAUUAGCUAAAUGAUGAAUUAUUUUUUAAACCCAAUCAGUUGAUGCAUCUGCAAGAGUUUUUUCUUUUAUUGACCAUAAUUAUAUUCCGGGUACAAUAAAUUGUCAUUGGUGCUUGGAAAAUAUGACUUCUUACUUCAAGUUUGAUAUGUCUCUCUCCAUAAGCUUACUGGAAAUAUAUCCUCAUCUACUGUCAUUUAUCUAAUAUCAAUUGAAAGAUCUCACUUUUUCAAACUAUCACUUCCAAGUCUCAUUGUCACUUAGCCAUUCUUGGACCAUUCAAAACCAAUCUGUUGAAAUAAUCAAAUAUAUGCAAAAUUAGAGUCACGAUUGUUGGUCCCCCAAAUUCUAAUUAUAUAUCUUCUAUAUAUCUCAUUGUCAGGUCACGAACUUGUUGGCAUAUUUUCCAAAUUCCUCUUCCAUCAGCUCUCACAUGUUAACUUGAGUGGAAAGUUUCCAAGUUGAUUGCUAGAAAGCAACGCAAAAUCAGACACACUUGAUCUAUCCCCUAAUUCUCGUUUCUACGUUGAAAAAGAAAGUAUAUAUAUAUAUCUAUGUAAAAAUAAAUAAUAAACUGAGUAAAAGUACAUUUGUUUAAUUAACAUCUGAUCGGGGCAUUUUUGGUGUAAUUUCGUGCCGUGUAAGCCACAACUAAAAUCAAACAGCCCCUUAGCAUACUUCUUCCAUAUUAUCUGCUACUUUUGUGGAUCUUAUAGGGUGGGCAUGUGGACAGAAUUUAAAAGUUUUAAUAGUCUCAAAGAAUAAGAUAUGUUAAAGCUAAAGUUGUUGCACCUUCUAAUUAAAUAAAGUUGCAUAAUUUCACCAACUUGAAAGAAUUGACAUUAAUGGACUGGUCCCCUCUCCAUAUAUGAAGCCUUCUUAAAAGUUAAUUUUUAUUUCAGAAAAAAAAAGUUUAAGUUACAUAUAUUACAGUAAGAUUUUUUGAGACCAAUUCCCUUCUUCAAAUGAUAAUGGAAAAGUAUUAAUUUAAAAAUAGCAUGAAUAUGUAUUGAUUAUAUCUUGAUUUUCAUCAAUUAUAGUCAGAGUUUCUCCAAAUCAAUUCCCUUAUUCAAAUAAUACAGAAAAUAAUUUAAUAGUAAAAUAAAUAGGUGUUGAUUAUAUAUCCUAAGUUUCAUCGAUUAUGUGAUCAAAGUGGCAUUGUUGAUUUAUUUCUUGUUCAAUGUUAAUUAAUUUUAGGGGAAUAUUCGGCCAACCUCUGUAAUUUCAGAGUGAUCAUUAAUUAAUUAAACGAUACAAAUAUCUAAAGUGAUUAGAUGUUUGCUGACAAUACAAGUUCAUGGCUUGAAAUUUGAUCUCUAUCGAUUGGUUUACAAAUGGACGCACUUGUGCCUUUGUGGCGAUAAUUGAACAGAGAUGUGAAGUUGUAAAGAUUUGGCAGUAGUAAAUUGUUAUAAAGACAUAAUGACAAGUUCCCAUGAUUAGUAUUUUUUUCCAAAAACUUUGUUACAACAAAUUCAUCUCGCCCAAAAAUUCUAUUUUGCUAACUAACAAUAAUUGAGCACUUGGCCGCAUUGACUCCACGUCUCCACCUACUUUGUAAGUAAAAACAUGGAAAUGUAAUCUCCACAAAAUGCCAAACGUGUGGAAUUUAAUUUUUGGCCUUGUGAAUCAAAAUGCAAAUGAAAGAAAAAGAGAGAAAAAAACAAGGCCCAAAGACUACGAAAAGAUAUAAAAGUCUUUGGGCCUUUUUAUAACGGCGAAUUUUUUAAAAGGCAAAAAUAACAACACUUCUAUGGUUUGUUUUGAUAAUCACAUUUACAUAUACUCUCUAAUUUUCAAAAUGGACACAUAAAUCUUUUUUUUUUCUACAAAUGUAUAUUAUUCGUAUUUUUUAUUAUUUUUAAUAUCAUAUUGUUAUUUAUUAUAAAUGUUUAAAGUAAAUUUUUAGGUUAAAAUAUAAUAAAAGGGUAUAAUCGUUCUCUUAUUAAACACCCAUACUUUUAGUUUCUAUCCAUUUGUCAUCUCAAUCUCUCUCAAUUAUUCUUUAUUGCUAGCUCAAAACGCGUUGCUGUUGCAAAUUAUAGCAAAAAGACAAAUAUGGAAAAGAAAAAAGGGAAGAAAAUUAGUGCAUGAAAGACUUGGAGAAAACAACGAAGUAAGUCAACUAUAAUCUAGCUGGGUGUAUAAAUUGUUUGAUGCUUUAUAAGCAAAUAACAAACAGAGACAGACAGUGUGUGUUCGUUUUUUCAUAGUUAAAGAUAUAGUUAGAAUGGGUGGUUCAAAAUCAAAAAUGGCGAUAAUGUUUGUUAUGUUAUUAAUAAUAUUUAAAAGUGGGUGGAGUGAGGGAUGUUUGGAUCACGAGAGAUUUGCUCUUUUGCGACUGCAACAUUUCUUCAAUGAUCCUCGUAAUUCUCUUUACAACUGGGUCGAUGAUGAGGGAGCUACUGAUUGUUGUCAGUGGGAAAGGGUUGAGUGCAGCAACACCACAGGCCGAGUGAUAGCGCUAGACCUUUUUGAAAUGUAUUCGGGAGAGUACAGCUGGUAUCUGAAUGCUUCUUUGUUUACUCCCUUCCAACAACUUGAGUCACUUGAUUUAACUGCCAACAAAAUAGCCGGUUGUGUUGAGAAUGAAGGUGCUUCGUUUAAUUUAAUUAAUUUACUUUCUCCCCCCUAAUUUAAGUUGAAUAUCAAGACCGAGCAACUAUACGCAUAUUCAUUUAGUCGACAAUUUUGACUUUUUUUUAAGUGAUUAAUUAAUUUUAAAAUUACACCAAUAUCUAUGAUCUUUUUUUUUUUUAAUUUUGCUUGCAGGUCUAGAGAGGCUAUCAAGAUUGAACAACUUGAAGAUGCUUAAUUUAAGUGAAAACUCUUUGAACAAUAGCAUUUUAUCAUCUCUAACUCAUCUUUCAUCAUUAAGCUCAUUAAAUUUAUUUUUAAAUAGAUUGGAAGGAAGUAUUGACUUUAAAGGUACAUAAUUAAAACUUCAUCCCUUCUCCAAGCUCUUUCAUUAACUUGCUAAAAUAAGACUCAAGGCUUUGAAUUCAAUUUUUUUUAUGAUUAGUAUUAAAAAAAACAGUUUUAAGCAAUUUAUAAAUACAAGUUUUAAUGGUUAUCGUAAUUUCAUCUUGUAAUUUCAUAUGUCUUGAAUUUAAGAUUAAAAAAAACUCUAAUAGCGAACCAAACACCUCCACAACUUAUUAUUAUUAUUAUUAUUAUUAUUAUUUGUGGUGAGGUUGGAAACAUUCAACUUAAUUUGUACUUAUUACAGAAUUUGAUUCUUUGAGAGAUUUAGAGGAGCUAGACAUUGGCGGGAACAAGAUUGACAAAUUUGUGGUCUCAAAAGGUACUACAAAUACCACAAAAAAUGUAAACUUUUACAAAUUAGCUGGAUUCUUUGCCAUUUGGUUUAUUAUUUUACAGGUUUGAGUAAGUUGAAGUCUCUUGAUUUAAGUGGUAUCAAACUCAACCGUAGUAUCUUAUCUUCUCUAACUGUCUUUUCUUCAUUAAGAGAAUUACAUCUACGUAAUAUCAUAUUCAAAGGAACAUUUGAUGUUCGAGGUAAGCCUAAGCCUUGCUUUCUCAUUUUCUAUAUGCCAACUAGAUUUGUGUAUCAUCGGCAUAAUUUAAUAUUUAAUUUGAUAAGUCUGAAGGAAUUACAUGCUAAUUUAAACAUACUUUUAUUUACUUUGUCAAUUAAUUAAUUAAUUAAUUACUAUUUGACAUUGGACGGUUCCUCUCUCCAUAUAAGCCUUCUGCAAAGCAUUGCAUCAUUCACUUCGUUAAAAAAUCUGUCGAUGUCUGAUUGUGAAGUCAAUGGUGUCCUACGUGGUCAAGGUAAAAGAAAAGUGUUGAUUGUGAAUAAGCUGUUAAUUAAUUAAUGUUGUUGCUCCUUGCUUCUAAACAGAGUUGCGCAAUUUCACCAACUUGGAAUAUUUGAAUUGGAUUCUUCCUCGCUCCAUAUAAGCCUUCUACAAUUGCUUGAACAAUUUAUUUAUUUAUUUAUUUAUUAUUAUUGUUGUUGUUGUUGUUGUUGAAGUGGGGUGGGCAAGCGUUCACUCAGUUAAUAUGUGGGGAAUUAAAUAUUACAAUCCAAGGUAGAAUUGUGGAAAAUUAAAGCUAAAUGAGAAAUAUGGAAAGAAAGGAAGAAAGUUAAGGGCAUGAAAGACUGGGAGAAUACUAAAAACCACCAAAUAAGUCAACUGAAAACUAGCUGAGGCCUGGGUGUACAAAUUGUUAGAUGUGUUUGUUAUAAAUAACAUAGAGCCAUCUUGUUGGUUGCAGAGGCAGAGAGACAGAGAGUGUGCAUUUUGUCCAGUUAAAAAUGAUAAAAUUUAUCAUUUGUUUAUAUUGAUUUAUUAACUCUAUUUUAAGUCUUAAGUCUUGGCGUCUUGGCAUGUUUGCAGAAUUUGAUUCCUUGAGCAACUUAGAGGAGUUGGACAUGAGCGGCAAUGAAAUAGACAAUUUCGAGGUUCCUCAAGGUACACAAUUAAAAUAUUAUUUAAUUACAUUAAUUUAAUUCGUUUGAUUAGGGAAGGCCCAAAAUGUACAAAAACAUAAUUAGAAAAAAUAAAGAAACAGAGAAUUCAUAUUAUUUCAAAUAACAAAAGGUAAUACUAUUAUUUCAAAAACAGAUUGUAAUAAAGAUUUGAUUCCAAUUCUUUAAUCUUUACAGUGAUUGAAAAACGAUACUACUUCCCAAAGCAUAAAAUACGAAUUGACUCUCAAUUAAAUUAAUCAUUUAUUUCGUUUAGGUCUAAAUUUAGAAAAAUGAAUUUUGAUUCUCUUGAAUCAUUUCCUAAUUAUUAUUAUUCAACAGGUUACAGAGGUUUGAGGAAGCUGAAAAGCCUGCAUCUAUCGGGAGUUGGAAUUAGAGAUGGAAGCAAGUUGUUACAGUCAAUGGGAUCAUUUCCAUCCCUCAACGCUCUUUACCUGAGCAAUAAUAAUUUUACCGGUACAACGUCAACUACUCAAGGUAAGUAAAAGGUACAGAUGUGGCCAAAUUUAUAAAUAAACUGUUAAUUAAUUAAUUUUCUGUAUUAUUAAUAAAGCUAAAUUUUUUGCUCAUUCCUUCUAAUUCUAAACAGAGUUGCACAAUUUCACCAACUUGGAAUAUUUGACAUUGGACGAUUCCUCUCUCCAUAUAAGCCUUCUGCAAAGCAUUGCAUCAAUAUUCCCUUCGUUGAAAAAACUGUCGAUGUCUUAUUGUGAAGUCAAUGGUGUCGUACAUGGUCAAGGUAAAAGAAAAGUGUUGGUUGUGCACUCACUCAGUGGUGUCCUACGUGUUCAAUAUUUUUAUUUAUUUAUUUUAUUGUUUAAUGAGAUGCUUCCACCCUCCCCUUUAAAUCUAUAAUAUUAAUUUUCGAUUAAUAUAUAAUUAUAGAAACCAAUCACUUAUAAAAGAAUGCUAUGCAUUUGCCAAUUUUUUUAUAUUUUACUGAUUGAUGAAUUAAUAAAUUUUCAGGCCUCUGUUCGUUGGUGCAUCUACAAGAGUUGUACAUUGCAACUCUUGUAGUAAUUAAUUAAUUAAGUAUUAGUUAAUUAAUUAAUUAAUUAAUUUUCUGUAUUAUUAAUAAAGCUAAUUUUUUUGCUCAUUCCUUCUAAUUCUGAACAGAGUUGCACAAUUUCACCAACUUGGAAUAUUUGGCAUUGGACUCUUCCUCUCUCCAUAUAAGCCUUCUGCAAAGCAUUGCAUCAUUAUUCCCUUCAUUAAAAAAUCUGUCGAUGUCUAGUUGUGAAGUCAAUGGUGUCGUACGCAGUCAAGGUAAAAGAAAAGGGUUGAAUGUGAACUCACUCAAUGGUGUCCUACGUGUUCAACAUUUUUAUUUAUUUAUUUUAUUGUUUAAUCUUUCUGCUAGGUUUUCCUCAUUUCAAGAGUUUGGAACAUUUUGACAUGGAUUUCACGCGCAUUGCACUCAACACUAGCUUUAUUGCACUCAACACUAGCUUUCUUCAAAUCAUCAGUGAAUCGAUGCCUUCUCUUAAGUACUUAUCACUAUCAUAUUAUACUCUUGGAACUAAUAGCAGCGGGACUCUUGAUCAAGGUUAACGAGAUGCUCCCACCCUCCCCUCCUAAUCUAUAAUAUUAAUUUUUUAUUUAAUAUAAUUACACAAACGAAUCACUUAUAAAAGAAUGAUAUGCAUUUGUUAAUUUUUUUAUUGUACUGAUGGAUGAAUUAAUAAAUUUUCAGGCCUCUGUUCGUUGGUGCAUCUACAAGAGUUGUACAUUGCAAGCAAUGAUUUAAGAGGUAGCUUGCCUUGGUGCAUGGCAAAUAUGACAUCCCUCAGAAUAUUAGAUGUUUCUUCUAAUCAACUUACUGGAAGCAUCUCCUCAUCUCCCCUCGUUCAUUUGACAUCCAUUGAAGAGCUGAUGCUUUCAAACAAUUACUUCCAGAUCCCAAUUUCACUUGAACCACUUUUCAAUUACUCAAGACUCAAGAUUUUCAAUGCUGAGAACAACGAAAUAAAAGCUGAAAUAACUGAGUCACAUUCUUUGAUCGCCCCAAAAUUCCAAUUAAAUACUCUCUCAUUGUCUUCCAAUUACGGAGACGGUUUCAUAUUCCCCAAAUUCCUUUACCAUCAACAUGACCUGGAGUAUGUUGAUCUCUCACACAUAAAGAUGAAUGGAGAAUUUCCAAAUUGGUUGUUGGAAAACAACACAAAAUUAGAAACUCUUUUUCUGGUUAAUGAUUCUCUUGCAGGACCUUUUCGGUUGCCAAUUCAUUCACACAAGCGGUUAAGACAGUUGGAUGUCUCCAACAACAACAUUCGAGGCCACAUUCCAGUAAAAAUUGGAGAUGUUUUACCAAGUUUAUACGUUUUCAACAAUUCCAUGAAUGCUUUAGACGGUAGCAUUCCCUCUUCAUUUGGUAAUAUGAAAUUCCUCCAAAUUCUGGACUUAUCCAACAAUCACUUGACUGGUGAAAUCCCCGAGCACUUGGCCGUGGGUUGCGUCAACUUGCAGUUUCUUGCAUUAUCAAAUAACAACCUACAAGGUCAUUUGUUCUCUAGAAAUUUUAACUUGACAAACUUGCAAUGGUUACAAUUGGAGGGCAAUCGCUUCGUAGGUGAGAUCCCACAAAGUUUGUCUAAAUGCUCCUCACUAGAAGGAUUGUACCUUAACAAUAAUAGUCUUUUAGGUAAGAUUCCACGAUGGUUGGGUAAUCUGACACGGUUACAAUAUAUUAUAAUGCCCAAUAAUCAUCUUGAAGGCCCUAUUCCAGUGGAGUUUUGCCAGCUUGAUUCGCUUCAGAUUUUGGACAUUUCAGACAACAACAUAUCUGGAAGUUUACCAUCUUGUUUCCAUCCUCUCUCUAUCAAACAAGUUCAUCUUUCAAAAAAUAUGUUACAUGGACAGCUAAAAAGAGGUACAUUCUUUAAUUGCUCUUCCCUUGUGACAUUAGAUCUUAGCUAUAACCGCUUGAAUGGCAGCAUUCCGGAUUGGGUUGAUGGGCUUUCUCAGUUAAGCCACCUUAUCUUAGGUCACAAUAAUCUUGAAGGUGAAGUGUCAGUUCAAUUGUGCGAAUUGAACCAACUACAAUUGUUAGAUCUUUCUAAUAAUAAUCUUCACGGUCCUAUUCCUCCUUGCUUUGAUAACACCACACUUCAUGAAAGUUACAGCAAUAGUUCUAGUCCUGAUGAGCAAUUUGAAAUAUUUUUUUCCAUCGAAGGCCAUCAGGGAUUUUUAGAAAAGCAAAACCAUGAAAUUUUUGAGUUCACAACAAAGAACAUUGCGUACAUUUACCAAGGAAAAGUGCUUAGCCUCCUAUCAGGACUUGAUCUUUCUUGCAACAAGCUAAUUGGUCAUAUUCCUCCUCAAAUUGGAAAUUUGACAAGGAUUCAAACAUUGAAUCUCUCGCACAAUAACUUGACAGGAUCGAUCCCAUCAACAUUUUCAAACUUGAAGCAUGUCGAAAGUUUGGAUCUUUCCAACAACAAAUUGAAUGGGAAAAUCCCUCAUCAACUAGUGGAGUUAAAGACAUUGGAGGUUUUCAAUGUGGCAUACAAUAACUUAUCAGGCGAAAUUCCAGAAUGGAAAGCACAAUUUGCAACCUUCAACGAGAGUAGCUAUGAGGGAAAUACUUUUCUUUGUGGACUGCCAUUGCCCAUUUGCAGAUCACCAGCAACUAUGCCGGAGGCUUCAAUUGGCAAUGAACAAGAUGAUAAUUUAAUUGAUAUGGACAGUUUCUUUAUCACAUUUACAACAUCGUACGUAAUUGUGAUAUUCGGAAUUGUUAUUGUUUUAUAUGUAAAUUCUUAUUGGCGACGUAGAUGGUUUUACUUUGUUGAAAUGUGGAUAACUUAAUGUUACUAUUUUGUUGUAAACAAUCUUAUUGCAACAAGAUAUUGUCAUUGAAAUUAAUUAGCAGUUUAAUUACGAUUCUUUAAGUUCUAAUCAAGUUUGCUUAGGAAAUAAUUUUUUUUUUAUUUUUUUAUUAAAAUUGUAGUAGUAUUUAGCGCUAUAUAGCUUCCAACUUGGUAGAAAGCUCCAUUUUUUGUUGGCUACAGUAAAAGCAUGUUGUUUUAUUCUUCUUAUACUUUACGCCUGCAUCAGCUUAAAUCACUUCUUAAACGCUUGCUUUAACUGCACCGCUUCGUACUGCUCUAUAUAUGUAACGGUUAUGCGGUUGUAGCUCACGGCUCAAGCUACGCGUUUGUUUGACGUGGUAGUUACGUUAUGAUGUUUCGAGUCUGUUAAACAUUCGGUGAUAAGAUUAGUUACAACAAACCUACUAGUUUUAUAAAAUUCAAGUGAGAUGGAAUAAAAUAAAAAAUAAAUAUAAAAUUGGCUUUUAUUUUUUAGGUUAACCAUAUUUUGUGUUCUCUUCGGGCACUACUACAAUUGUUCCCUAUACAUCAGUUACACUCACGUAUCAUCGACACGAAAAAUGAAAUCUAAUAUCACCUGUUUAGUUAAAGAAUCACUCAUGAAAAAAAAUUACCAUUUUGAUUUGAAGAUCCAUAUUUUGAACUACCAAUUAAUGUUCAUCAAGAACAGAGUGUGGCCGUUAAGUAGAAAAACUAUUUUUGGACAAAUUAUUAAAUUCCAAUAUUGUAUCCAUAUGCAAACGAUGCCUGAAGCAGAGCCUCCAAACAAUGACCAGGGCACAAAACAAGAGUGUAGUAAUCAAGUGUAUUGUCUCAUAAUCAAUUAAAAGCAGAUAUACAGGAUACCAUAUUCAAUUCCAAAAUAACAAAAGCAUAAUGAGGAUGAGAAGAACAAUGAUCACUCAAAUAUUUCUUCACUUUGGUUGUCAAUUAUCUAUUCAAAUUAAUCAGUGUCAUUAUGGACUUAUUUAUUUAGAAGAGCGGGUGAUAAAUAUAUUCAAUAAUGUGAACAAGAAGUUGAUUAACUUUUAUGAUCAUUUGGAAGGUCGGCGUGUCAUCACUCGUCAAACACAUUGCAUCGAUCCACCAGCAUGAACCGACCGGAUUAUGCCCAAAAGUUGAAAUAUCAAUAAAAAAAACAAUUAAUUAAAGGUCGAAGAUGGGUCCUUUACAUAUGUUUUUGUUUUCGUAUUAGGUAGGAGGUUAUUAUAUUAUAUCAUGUAAUUAAUUUAUUAUUACUCAACACUAAGUAAUAACUUAACUAUAUAAAGACAACAAGAAGAUAAAAUGAUAUAUAAAAAAAAAAAGAAUUUCAAAGAGAUAGCAACAUACAAUAGACUGAAGCCAUUUGAUCUGCUCAUUGAUUUCAGCCUUAAACUUGUAAAUAGUUACUGUCAAAUAUUCUAUUCAUACGAAAAAAAUGUUUAGAUAUCUUACUAUAAAUAUAGCCGUUUGACUGUCUUAAUAAAGUCACACACAACCAUUCUUAUUAAAUUAGCAAGAUCAAACACUGCCCUGGAUCUUGAACAGAUCAACACAAGAUGCACAACUUAUGAUUGAACCCAGAAACAAUCAAAUCUUUAGCAAGAACAAUUAAUCAGAGUCAAGAAACAAGUUUAAUGAAUAUAAACCUAUAAUUGAAACAAACAUAGCCAAGAAAAAAAUACAGAUUUUACACGGUUCAGUUGUACCUAGGAUGGCACAACCUACACCACGAGAGAAGCUUUCUGGUGAGAUUUUAUUGAUGAUCAAAGAAGAAUCUUUUGACAAAGCUAAUAAUAGAGAUUUCAGAGAAUAAGCUGUAACCCUCUCUCCCUCUUCAAUCUCUCUCUAUUUUGUUCCCAUUGAUGACCCCAAUCUGCUUAGUUAUCCAGCUUUAUAGCUGCAUCAGUAACAAACCAGCAAACCCAGAUUGAGCAGAUUGACGACACGUGGAUAACGGCUUUAACGAACCUGGUUAAGAACUGCUCACAUGUUCGUCACGCGUGCUGCUUAAAUGAUGGCCAAAACGACUUCAAACAAAUGUCGUUUUGAGGCUUAUGAAUUACAAGUGAUAACACGAGCUUGUCUCAUGACUUUUAAAUGCAACAACGUGCCCACAACGCCGUCGUUUUACUCUGUUGAGUUUGAUUCAUUACUAAGCUUUACGACUGGCAAUGGAGAAGAUGAUAAUUUAAUUGACACGGACAGUUUUUAUAUCACUUUUACAACAUCCUAUGCAAUUGUAAUAUUGGGAAUUAUUGAUGUUUUAUUCUGUGAAUCCUCAUUGGCAAAAACUAGUGGUUUUAUCUUUGUUGAAAUAUAGAUGACCUCUCGUUACUGUUUUAUUAUAAACAUAUAGUUUCGUAAGUGAAACUAUAUGUUUAUAAUAAAAUUAACAUAUAGUUUUGUUACAUUUCUGCCUCAUUAAGAUUCUCAAAUACCAGUCAGGUUUGCUUAAGAAAUAAAUUUUUUCCAUUAAAAUUGCAGUAGUAUUUCCAAGCAUAUCGCAUUUUCUAUGAGUUUUCAUAAAUUAAUUAAUCUGCGGUGCCAAUAUCAGAUUUAGUUUUUCAAACUAAAUAAUCAAGAAAGCAAACAUACAAAUAUACAGUUUAGAGGGGUAAACUAGGUAGGUGGUUUAGAUUUUAGAACUAAGCCAGCUACCUCGCUAAAUUCCGAUUCGUACAGUGAACUGCAAGAAACUGAGAAAACAAUGUAUUUAUAAUUUAAUAGAAUCAUAAGAAAACAAUGCAGUCAUUGCUCAAUAUAAGAUGAUGAUUUCGGAGAGGCACAUUGUUUUCAAGUUAAUUUGAUCCGUUUAUAAGAGAUGAAGUGGAAUGAAGUUGAAAGUUUAAAUAACAAAUCCUUGUUCUUGAGUUUUACGACGUCGUUACUCCUUCAAGUGGCAGAUUAUGCAAGUGAAUGCAGAAACACAAUGCAUCAUCCGCGGGGAUGAUACAUCAAAAGGCGGGAUUUGUUUAUGCCUGCAGAUUAGCAAUUUCACUCAUAUAGAAAAUUAAUUUUUUAUAUAUACUAAUCAACACUAAAUUGAUUAUGUGUUGUAUGUUUAUAUGCUAAUCAACACGAAAUUAUAUUGAAUUAUUAACAUUCAUAUUCCUAAUAAAAAUUAUUUUCCAUCAGUAUUCAAAAUUUUCACUUAUAGAAAAUGCGUUUUACGUGAAUACUAGUUAUUGUGUAAAUUUGAAUGAUAGCGAAAAAUAAACCUAUUUGAAAACUGUAAGGGUGUGUUGGGAUAUUUUACAACUGUCGGAAUCUGGUAGGAUAUUGCACCAUUUGCCCAAUAUUUUUAGACGUACUCCAACCGGUAUUCAAGAUAAGUAAAAUUUACAAGCGUGGCAAAAUAAAAAAAAAUUAAAUUCGUAACUUGUAAACGAAUUUUCCUGACAUGUAUAGUAAAUGAAGUUGUUGAUCCUUUCUUUGGAUUAUUUCAGCUCUGGUUGUUGGUCACCGAUGAGCCGAAGUCUUAUUUUAAUUUUAUUUAAACUCAUCAUAAGAUUCGUGGAGCACCUAACUAACUUAACUGACUGCGCAGAUCAUCUCAACAUGGCAUAUUUAACCAUCAUUCAAGUGAUGGGUUUAAUAAGACUGCUUUUGUUCUAUCAACUAUCAAGUUCCUCUGCCUCUAAGCAGAAUUACUAUUGAAGGGCCAAAAGGAAAAUGAAAACGUGUGAGCUCCAACAACCACCCCACAAAUUCAAUGACGAUGCUCGGAGAGGGUUAGGUUGGGCCUCUGAGAAAAAAAAAAAUUAUUUUGUUAAAAAGUUACCCUUAUUGAAACCUGUAUAAACAUUUUAUAUUAAUUAGUUAUGUCGCCUCUUCAACGAUGAUCAAAUUCUUAUCUGAGCUCAUCAUUUAAUGAGUAAACAUGUAUUUUAAUGAUCUCAAUUAAUAUUUAGAACAAAUAUUUUAAGAAGUAAAGCUCAUUAUAUCUUCCAUUAUUAUGUAUUUCUUUAAUUUCUUAUUUACAUAAUUAUAUUGUACAUUAAAAAUGUAUUGAAUUUGAAGAAAAAAAAAUUCAACUCAAAAAAAAAAAAUGCUGGUAGCUUCGUAAUAAUUACUGUAUUGACUGCACCAGAUAAAGUUUUGUAAAAUAAUAAGUUCUCAUAAGUGGUUUUUCAUUUUUAAUUUUCUUUUCCGGCACACCUGAUCAAGAAUUCUAUUUUGUUAACUAAUCAAUUGCAAAGCAUAAGUGUUGAACGGUACAAAAAAUUUAAAAAAAAUACACUUAAAACGUGGGGUGGGUAACGGCUCACUCAAAUCGUUAGGUAGAAUUGUGGAAAACUAAAGCGAAAUGAGAAAUAUAGAAAGAAAGGAAGAGGUGAUGUUUUUCUAUGAAUUUCUAUGGGUAACGGCUCACUCAUCCUUCUAUGAAUUUCUAGCUGUAUUGACCCCAACUGCUAAAGUUUUGUAAAAUAAAAAUAAAAAUAAAAAACUGGAAUUUCAACAAAAUUCAAAACGUUUGAAAUUUAAUUUUUGGCCAUGUGGAACAAAAUGUAAAUUAAGUAAAAAAUAUAAAUCUCAAUUGCUUAGUAUGGUUAGGAUUUUGUGAGCAUCACUAAAAAGUGAAAACUAUGAAUGAUAGAGGUGAUGUUUGCAACAUGAAUAAAUGAUGAACUGAAUCAAUUGAUGAUCGUAAUUACAUAAUGAACAAAAUUUACAAAAUCAACAAAAGUUAAUAAAAAAUUAUUUUAAUAAUAAAAAAUCAAUAAAACUUAUUAUUUAAGGGCGCUCUAACCAUGGAAUACCAUAAUCAUAAUCUUCUUUUAAGAAAAUUAUAACUUAUUAUUUUACAGGAUUGAUCCAUUUGGAAUGAAGUGGUCUCAAGUUGAAAGUAAUUAAUUUAUUGAAUAACUUUCGACUUAUUAAUAGUUAUAUCAAAGGGUGUUUUACCUCAUCAUGUCUUCAAGUGGAAGAUGAAGACUAUGCAAGUGAAUUCAGGAAUAUUGCAUGCCUGUUGUCUAAAGCAUUACCUCACAAGGUUUCAUGAGAAACGAAAGAUGUGUUUGCUUUGAACAAUUAAAGUUACUGCUACGAACCUCCCCAAAGGUCAAGAAGACAGAACAGGAAGCUAAUGCCAUCAAUGUCUUGUUCAUUAUAGCUGCUGGGUAGUUAGGUGUAGUUUCCUCAUUUGAAGCUGUCUAUACAUAGGCAUUUCCCCUGCUUAUGUACAAAUAAAUGAACAACCUUGAAGCUUUAUUAUUCGCAACAAAAAGGGAUUACUAAUUGGAGAAGACAAUACAGAGUUUUCUCUCACACUUUCUCUCUGUCAAUUUCAUCCAGAAGUCCCUCUGAAAGCUUCUCCCAAAACAGUUAGUCAUCUUUUAUGCUCUGUUUUCUGAAAACAGAGUCCUAACUAAAUUAAUUGACUGUACAGUGCAUUUCAACAUAGCAUAUUUAACCGUUUUAACAGUUAUUUGGACCGUCUUCAGAGGUAACAUCAACAAACUCAUUCAUAUGCUUAAUAAUGAACGAAUAGUCUUGGAUCGAUGUUUUGCAGCAAGAGCAACACGACACAAUCUGGAUUCAACCUCCUCCUUUCUAACAGGGGAUUUCGAUUUGAGUUACUUUGUGCUCAAGCAAAUUCACAUCAUAGUUUUGAUUCUUUAGAUAUGAAUUCAUCUCAUUACAUAUAUCAGAUUAAGUGUAACAAAAUUUGUAAUUUACUGCGAAAAGAAUAUGCACUAAAAAAUGAUUUCAAGACUAUUUGACUACAAAAAGCAGCUGUCAGAGUGCACUAAAAAUUUCUGUAGGAUAUUUUGUAGCUGUUUAAUAUGUUAUGAUGGGCAUAUAAUUCUCAAAUUUUGAUGCCUCUCAGCGAAAAAUAUAUCAAAGUUACGGAUGAUAUCACGUAAAACAUGCAUGGCUCAGGCUCAGGCUCAGGUAAGAAAGCCACAGAAAAGGAAAAUCUCACUGUCACGACUCACGUCACGCAUCAUUCAAGUGAUGGAUUUAACAAGACUGCUUAUGUUCUAUCAAAUUCCUCUGCCUCUCAGAAGAUAACUUUUCUGGGCCAAAUUUCUCAUCUAAAGCAUAUUAUGCCCCAAAGUCACAGAUAACAAAAUGGGGCACUACCGAUUAUGAAAGAGAACUAGUAGUUGUCAGAAGCCUAAGCCAAAUUCCGGUAGUAAGAAGAGGCCUUUCUUGAGUUUAGAUUAUGUGUUCGAGUUUUAAUAAAUGCCUAAGUUAAUAAUAAUAACAACAGUAAUAAUAAACUAAAAAGCAUAAUUACUAUUGAAUGGUAAAAAAAAAAAUGAAAAUGUGUGAACUCCAAUAACCACCCCAGUGGCGAAUUUUGGAGAGGGCUAGGCCGGGCUUCUUAGAAAUUAUUUUUAUUUAAUUACAAAAUCACCUUUACUGAAACCUAUAUAAAAUUUUUUAUAUUAAUUAAUUAUGUUGCCUCUUCAAUUAUCAUUAAAUUCUUGUCCGUUCAUAAUUUGAUGGACAAAUGUGUAUUUCAAUAAUUUCAAAUAAUGUCUAGAACAAAUAUUUUGAAUUAUAAAACUCAUUAUGUCCUGCAUUACUAGAUGUAUCUAUAAUUUAUUAUUUACAAAUUAUAUUGUAUGAUAAAAAUGUAUUGAAUUUUUUUUUAAAAAAAAAGUUCGGCUCACUCAGAAAAAAAUGUUAUUAGCUUCGCCACUGCACAAAUCUAGAAUAAUAAUUAUUCCUUAUUAUAUUGACUGCACCAAGCAAUAAACUAAUAAGUUCUCAUCAGUGGUUUUUAAUCUUUUUAAUUCUUUUUACCGCACACCUGAUCAAGAAUUUUAUUUUGUUAACUAAUCAAUUGCAAAGCAUAUAUAAGUGUUGAACGGUACACAAGAUUGGAAAAAAAAAUCUUAAAAAACGUGCGGAUUCGGGUGGCCACACCAGAAAUCUAUUACAAUAAUUAGCUUUGAUGCUGGGAAUCUUUUAAUUUCUGGCCGUAUUGAAGUUUUUAAAAUAACAAGUUCCCCUUCUCGUUUUUUUUUUUUUUAAAUAUAUAUGCUUAUAACAAUUUUAGAAUAAUGAUUCAUUUGUAGAAGAACUUAUGAUUUCCCAUUAAUAUUAAUAUUGAAGUGGGGUGGGUCAAAUCUCAAUUGCUUGAAGAAUUUAUGUAUUAUUAAAUAUUACCAUCCAAGGUAGAAUUGUGGAAAAUUAAAGCAAAAUGACAAGUAUGGAAAGGAAGGCUGAAAGUAAGGCAUGACGAAAGGCUUUGAGAAGGCUGAAGACUACCAAAGAAGUCAACUGAAAACUAGCUGGGGCCUGAGUGUAUAAAUUGUUAGAUGCGUUUGUUAUAAAUAACAUAGAGCCCUUUUGUUAUUUAUAGUUAUAGAGAAAGAGAGAAUGUGUGUUUUUUAAUAGUUAGAGAUAUAGCUAGAAUGGGUUGCUCAAAAUCCAAAAUAGUGACAAUGUUAGUUCUCGUAUUGAUAAUAUUGGGGGGGGGGGGGGGGGGGGGGGGGGGGGGGUGUUGGGAGGUCGAGUGAGGGAUGUUUGGAGCAUGAGCAAUUUGAUCUUUUGCGGCUUAAACAUUUCUUCAAUUAAUAUCGAUCUGGGAGAGUGGUAUCUGAAUGCUUCUCUAUUUACUUCCUUUCAACAACUUUGGUAACAAAAUAGCCGGCUGCAUGCGUUGAGAAUGAAGGUGCUUCAUUUAAUUUAAUUUACUUAAUUUCUCCCUCCUAAUUAAUGUCUAUAAUCAUUAGGAGGAACAAGGGAUUUUAUUAACUCAAAUAUAUCUAAUGGAGCUCAUUCUUUGGUUUUACUUGCAGGGCUAGAAGCAGGUGUCAUCUAACAGCUGCUUUGAUAAUUUCCCUCCCCUUCAUCUUUGAUGGAAAGAUGAAAUAAAAACAAAUUGGUGAAAAUGGUAUUGGUACCUGAGGCUAUGUAAUCUAAUUCAAAAACUGCACCAUCAAAACGAUUACAUAAGUCUCAGAAGAAUCAAAUAUCAGUUUGCAAAAUAUCAAUUGCUGGAGGUUUGAUUCUAACUUCCGCUCUUCAUUUUUAUGGGCAUAUUGUGUUGUACUUGGCAUCCGAAAAUCAUAUUUUAGUUUACUUGCACUCAAUGCUUGGAUUAAAGUUUUUUUUUGGGGGGGGGGGAUUGAAGAAGACUAAAAUUACACCAAAAAAGAGUUGAGCGAGAGCGGGUUUUGUCUUCAUUUAAGGAGCUCUUUAUAAAUUUUGGGAUUUUUUUCCUGAGAAAAUUUAUGCCAACUCAUUCUUUGCUUCUUUUCUGAAGGGACACAUGCAACCGAAAGUAUAUUCUUGAAUUCUCCAGGAUAAGAGACAUACGUUUAGAUUCUGGAGCAUUUAAAACAAUGUCAAAUUUUAGAUUGCUGAAAUUUUAUAUAUCCGAGUAUGAUGGUGUUCCAAUUAUAAGCUCCAGGGUGCAACUUCACUGAGGUUUAGAAUGCCUUCCUAUAGAAUUGAGAAAUCUCCAUUGGCAUAAAUAUCUUUUUGAAAAUACUGACAUCAGAUUUUGAAUUGGAGAACCUGAUUGGACUCAGCUUGCCCUGUAGUAAGGUUAAGCAAAUUUGGAAAAGAGAAAAGGUAUAAUGUAUUACUAUUACCAAAGUAUCUAUUUUUCUUUCUUUAAGUAUUUAUAAUGAAUAACUUUGAAAUUCAAUGAUGCUCAUUUAGUAUAGUUAUGUAUCUUUGGUUAUAGGAAGCUGUCAAGUUAAAAUCUAUAGACCUUCACCACCCCUUUAUCUCAAUAGGAUCCCAGAAAUACUAAAUCUUAAAAAAAUAAAUCUUUCAAAUUGUGAAAGCAUGCUUACGUUACCCCCGUAUAUCCACAAUUUCAACUAGCUGAGUAUGUUGUGUUUCAGGGAUGCAAAAUUCAUUUUGUUUCUCAUUGAAAGGAUUGACUUGUCCGGAUGUAUUAGGGUUAGUAAACCAACUAAUCCCAUAAUUUGUUGAUGUAGGGUCCUAACAAAUUAUUGCAGUAGAUUGUAGAUCAGUACACUAUUCGAAAACGUAUUUGAUCCACACAGUGAAGUGGAUAUUGGACCAAUUUGAUGAUAAUGAAUUUCUUUCAAUCUCAAUCUUUUUUCUUUUUAGCAACAUGACUAGUCAUUGUGCAAAUUCAAACUCUGACAAUAAUUUCUCAAUCGGUUUCUAAGAUGAUGACCAUGCAUGUAUAUGUAUAUUGCGUGUGUAUAUGUGUGUGUGUGUAGAGAGAGAGAGAGAGAUCACACGUGUGUGAUUUCCUUUUGCCAAUAGGAUAUGCAAGAGAGCUUGAUCUUACCCAAUAGCGAAACAAACUUCCUAAUAAGUGAAGGUAUAGUAUAAAUACUUAUACUUUCAUGUUAUUUUGUUCAUCAGUAGCUUGAUUAUUUUAUAUGCGUCUUCGAUUUUAAUUUUCUUUCCCUAUAAUCGCUAUUAUCUUUGAACUGGUCAUAAUUUGCCCAUAAGAUUUCUCAUGUUGUUUUGAGGUGCAACGGAUUUUGAAUUAGUGACAAGCAGUGGAAGCCAGAAGGCAAAUUAUGAAAAUGGAUAAAGAUCUAUAAUUAGCUGUUAUGGGAUGUCACAUAUCAUAUUGAUGGUAACGUUAUAUAUAUGUACAUAUAAUUAAUGGGGUUGGCUCACGAGCCCAUUAAUUAAUGGUUAUAUUAGCUUAUAUACUUCAAACAAUGUACUAUGAAGCAAUUUCACAAAUACUUGUUAGCUUAUGUUGAGCUUUAUUGAAUCAGUAGUUCACAGUUCAAUAAAAUGCAGGUUUGCUAUUUGAAGUACAUGGUUAUGGUGCGUACAUUCUUCAUAAGGCUAACUACUAAUUUAUCAUUGAAACUUGAAAAAUGUGAUAGAGAGAUGUAGAUAACAGCCGCAAAACACUGAAUUGAAAAUCAGGGCUACUAAAUUCUAUUAAAAGUCCUUAAAAUAGACAGCGAUCACCCUGAAAUGUAUAUACUGAAACUAAGAAAAUAUUAAUCGCAAAGUUAUGCAUUAAUAGAACUAUUGACUACUUAUCUUUAGCAUAAAGUAUAUUUUUAACUACAGCUUUCUGCUUUGUUCUAAGAACUAGGCAAAAGUGGUGUAUCUUCAAUCCAAUCAACAUAUAUACCACUUAUCUUCCUCUUCACUUCUGUCUAUUUUGAUUUGCACUUCAUAUCCUGCACUUGCUGCUUAGAAAUAGUCUUUAUUCUGGACAUUUGAAAGUAGAAAAAGUACUUGAAACAAUCAUUGGCACAGCCCGAGAUUCCAUUGAAUCGUGGACUCCAAGCUUUCAUAGUUCUAUAAAGAAGAUGACAAAACUUCAUACAACUGGCAUUCUGCUUUUAACAUUUGCACAACCUGAGCGAGUUAGCAAGCCCCUUGUUGCGUUCCCAUUGAAUAGACCUACUUCUGUUAUCCGCAGAAGAUCCACCACUCAAAAUGUUUAUCACCAGGCUAUUCCUUAAAACUGAGCCUAAACUGAGUAGAACUUCCGCACAUCUCUCAGCAUUUACAUGAAGAAAUCGGACAACUAUCCUCAUCUCUCAGCACAUCUCUUCAGCAUUCUACAAAGUUGCAUUUCACUAAGCAAUCUAUCCUCUCCAUUCCUAGCAAAGUGACAUUGAUUCCCGUAUUUGUAAUCGCCUAACUUGGGUUUUGGGCAUAGCGUGGUCUUAAAAUUACCACCCCAAUACUUUGUUCAGUGCCACUGGCAUCCACAAGCUCUAGCCCUGUUAGUUGAAUCAUAUUCAAUGGGACAGUGAGGCAGCAUUUCACUAACAUUAUUCAAUUUGACUACUUAUAUUGACGCAAAUAUUAGAAUUUGAAAUCACUUCUUUUAUUGGAAUAUUAUAUUAAUAUGACCCCAAAUGAAAGUUCUUGAAUGGAAAUGAUUUUUAUUUACUUUUCGAACAGAUUCAAGAAAAACCCAGGAGAACACAAAAUUUACACAGUAAUAUGAUUAAGAGCUGAGAACGUAUAUGUAGUAAAUGUCUAUCAAAAACACCCAAGGGUUUCUUUAAAAAUUAGUAACUAGUAAACAAAAAGAAAGAAUCAUUUUACAUUUUUAGCAACUUUGGGGUGAGUGAGUGAGUGAGAAAUUGAAACCCUCAAGUGAUGACAACAGUAAGAUUCCAGUAUGAAGUGAAACCCCAAUUUGAAAUGUAGGCAUGAGUUGCUGAGUCAGUAGAUGAAGCUAUAAAUAGGCAUUCGGUUUCCUUCUUUUCGGUUUGGAGGGCCAUGGAAUAGUGUAUUGGAGUGGGCUCCAAGUAAUAGCCUCUAUCACUGGAACGACACAUCUAUAAAAUGUGAUACAUGGGGAAGGAUUGGGCAUUUUAUUCUUAGAUUAGCCCCUUAUUUAGGGUGUAUAUUAAGCAGAUUAUAUAUUACAUGGAGAUGGAGUUUAUGAAAUAGAUUAAAAAGAAAAGGAAAUUUUUGGUGCCCUAAAGUUUGCCACUUGGAAUAUUUCGGUGUCUAAAAAUUCACUCACCACUUAUUUCAUGUUUGAUUAUAUGUUGAAAAGAUAUUAAAAUAGUAUAAUGCUAUUAAGGCUUAACGUAUAUUUUUUAUUAGUAGAGUGGUAGAAUUUUUAAGAAAUAAAUUAUUAAAUUAUUAUAACUAACAUAUUAUUUUAAAGUUGUGUUAUGAAAAAAAUGAAAUAAAAAUGUACAGUAAAUAAGAAUAUUUUAAAACUUUUAUCUUUUUAAAAUUAGUUUUUAACAUAAGGUGAACUAUUUUUUUUUUUUAAAAUCACAUAUUCUAGUUAAAAUCAAAUAUGUAUUUAUACGAAGCUUGUAAAUUUUUUUUUUUAGUACUGAUAUUUUGAAUAUUAUCAAUAAAAAAAAGGUAAUGUUCAUGCUGCAUUAUUUUUGUAGCACACAAAAGGACAACACCGUUUAUGUUAUAAUACUAUCGCUUCUGUUAUGAUAAUUUUUUUUGUGGCCAAAUAUCUUUUUUUUUUUUAAGUAAAAAAAGUGGACAAAAUGCAAAUCAGUUUUUAAUCCUCAAUCUCUCCCAAAAUAUAUAUUUCGGUGUCUAAAAAUUCACUCACAAAACUAUAGCUGACAAAAAGUUACUAACAAAAAGUUAGGUCCAUGGGUUGUUAAAACUAUAGCUGACAAAAAGUUACUAACAAAAACAGAAUGUCCAUUUUAUAACUUUCUUAAAAAACUUUCCUUAACUUUUUUAAACAAAAAGUUAUUUCCAAUUUUUAUUUUGUUAUAAUGUUUAUAACAAAAUUCGUAGUUAACUAAACUCUUCUUAUACCCUUUCUCAACUGCCAUACCCUAACCCACUAAACCACGCUCAAUUAAGGCCAUCAGAUUCUCCGGGCCCACAUUAAUCCAACUGCUCACAGAGACCGACAGCCUCUCUAUCUCCAUUUCAAGCUCCCUCUUCAACUGGCUUCUGCUACCGUCCUACUCUUUCUCGGCUUCGGAGUCCGUAUUUGCUCGGCCUGUCCCACGAAGCUCCCUCUCACUCCAAUUGUCGCCCCACAAGACCAAUUGCUUAAUCAAGACACCGAACAAGAAAAGGAUGAGAAGUUGAAACAAGAAUUUGAGAAUUGGAAAUAAAAACGUACGCAUUGACCGUGCCUUUGAGAGUCGUUUCUCUUCAGAACUCAGUGCCUCAAUCUUGGGUUAAGGAUUUUAUGCGAAGUCAGGGAAAGAGAUUGAAGUUUCAGAUGAAUUUGUGUGCUAGCAUUGAUGGGAUCUUUAACAAUUUAUCUGUGCCCUUUAACAAAGUUAAGGCUAAGUCAGCUUCUUAUAUGGCUGCUGAUUUGGUUAGUGUUGGUGAUUCAUGGCUUAGUUUUGCCAUUAAAAAGAGAUUGAUUGAGCCAAUGGCUGGAGCUGAAGACCAAGAUUGGUUCAAAUGCUUAAGUCACAAAUGGAAGGUAACAUCUUUGUCUUUGAUCCUCGAGGUAAAAUAUGGGCGGCACCGUACAGGUGGGGCACAACGGUGAUAGCCUACAAGAAAAGUAAAUUUCGAAAGCAUAAUUUGGCUCCGAUUGAGGUAAUAAUUUUCUUUAAACUCAUUUAGUUUUAUAUCAAACAAAAUCAAGACUGCCUUUCUCUUCAAUAUUUUUUAUGAUAAUAUCUUUAGAAGCAUCUCAUUGACGGGUAACAAUGGCAUCCCUGAAAGAGUCUAUAAACUCAAUGAUAUUAUCUUCUACAAAUGGUUCAUUAAACUUUGUCGUUGUACUCAAAUGUACACUCAGAUCAAUGAGAAGNNNNNNNNNNNNNNNNNNNNNNNNNNNNNNNNNNNNNNNNNNNNNNNNNNNNNNNNNNNNNNNNNNNNNNNNNNNNNNNNNNNNNNNNNNNNNNNNNNNNNNNNNNNNNNNNNNNNNNNNNNNNNNNNNNNNNNNNNNNNNNNNNNNNNNNNNNNNNNNNNNNNNNNNNNNNNNNNNNNNNNNNNNNNNNNNNNNNNNNNNNNNNNNNNNNNNNNNNNNNNNNNNNNNNNNNNNNNNNNNNNNNNNNNNNNNNNNNNNNNNNNNNNNNNNNNNNNNNNNNNNNNNNNNNNNNNNNNNNNNNNNNNNNNNNNNNNNNNNNNNNNNNNNNNNNNNNNNNNNNNNNNNNNNNNNNNNNNNNNNNNNNNNNNNNNNNNNNNNNNNNNNNNNNNNNNNNNNNNNNNNNNNNNNNNNNNNNNNNNNNNNNNNNNNNNNNNNNNNNNNNNNNNNNNNNNNNNNNNNNNNNNNNNNNNNNNNNNNNNNNNNNNNNNNNNNNNNNNNNNNNNNNNNNNNNNNNNNNNNNNNNNNNNNNNNNNNNNNNNNNNNNNNNNNNNNNNNNNNNNNNNNNNNNNNNNNNNNNNNNNNNNNNNNNNNNNNNNNNNNNNNNNNNNNNNNNNNNNNNNNNNNNNNNNNNNNNNNNNNNNNNNNNNNNNNNNNNNNNNNNNNNNNNNNNNNNNNNNNNNNNNNNNNNNNNNNNNNNNNNNNNNNNNNNNNNNNNNNNNNNNNNNNNNNNNNNNNNNNNNNNNNNNNNNNNNNNNNNNNNNNNNNNNNNNNNNNNNNNNNNNNNNNNNNNNNNNNNNNNNNNNNNNNNNNNNNNNNNNNNNNNNNNNNNNNNNNNNNNNNNNNNNNNNNNNNNNNNNNNNNNNNNNNNNNNNNNNNNNNNNNNNNNNNNNNNNNNNNNNNNNNNNNNNNNNNNNNNNNNNNNNNNNNNNNNNNNNNNNNNNNNNNNNNNNNNNNNNNNNNNNNNNNNNNNNNNNNNNNNNNNNNNNNNNNNNNNNNNNNNNNNNNNNNNNNNNNNNNNNNNNNNNNNNNNNNNNNNNNNNNNNNNNNNNNNNNNNNNNNNNNNNNNNNNNNNNNNNNNNNNNNNNNNNNNNNNNNNNNNNNNNNNNNNNNNNNNNNNNNNNNNNNNNNNNNNNNNNNNNNNNNNNNNNNNNNNNNNNNNNNNNNNNNNNNNNNNNNNNNNNNNNNNNNNNNNNNNNNNNNNNNNNNNNNNNNNNNNNNNNNNNNNNNNNNNNNNNNNNNNNNNNNNNNNNNNNNNNNNNNNNNNNNNNNNNNNNNNNNNNNNNNNNNNNNNNNNNNNNNNNNNNNNNNNNNNNNNNNNNNNNNNNNNNNNNNNNNNNNNNNNNNNNNNNNNNNNNNNNNNNNNNNNNNNNNNNNNNNNNNNNNNNNNNNNNNNNNNNNNNNNNNNNNNNNNNNNNNNNNNNNNNNNNNNNNNNNNNNNNNNNNNNNNNNNNNNNNNNNNNNNNNNNNNNNNNNNNNNNNNNNNNNNNNNNNNNNNNNNNNNNNNNNNNNNNNNNNNNNNNNNNNNNNNNNNNNNNNNNNNNNNNNNNNNNNNNNNNNNNNNNNNNNNNNNNNNNNNNNNNNNNNNNNNNNNNNNNNNNNNNNNNNNNNNNNNNNNNNNNNNNNNNNNNNNNNNNNNNNNNNNNNNNNNNNNNNNNNNNNNNNNNNNNNNNNNNNNNNNNNNNNNNNNNNNNNNNNNNNNNNNNNNNNNNNNNNNNNNNNNNNNNNNNNNNNNNNNNNNNNNNNNNNNNNNNNNNNNNNNNNNNNNNNNNNNNNNNNNNNNNNNNNNNNNNNNNNNNNNNNNNNNNNNNNNNNNNNNNNNNNNNNNNNNNNNNNNNNNNNNNNNNNNNNNNNNNNNNNNNNNNNNNNNNNNNNNNNNNNNNNNNNNNNNNNNNNNNNNNNNNNNNNNNNNNNNNNNNNNNNNNNNNNNNNNNNNNNNNNNNNNNNNNNNNNNNNNNNNNNNNNNNNNNNNNNNNNNNNNNNNNNNNNNNNNNNNNNNNNNNNNNNNNNNNNNNNNNNNNNNNNNNNNNNNNNNNNNNNNNNNNNNNNNNNNNNNNNNNNNNNNNNNAGAGAGAGAGAGAGAGAUCACACGUGUGUGAUUUCCUUUUGCCAAUAGGAUAUGCAGAGAGCUUGAUCUUACCCAAUAGCGAAACAAACUUCCUAAUAAGUGAAGGUAUAGUAUAAAUACUUAUACUUUCAUGUUAUUUUGUUCAUCAGUAGCUUGAUUAUUUUAUAUGCGUCUUCGAUUUUAAUUUUCUUUCCCUAUAAUCGCUAUUAUCUUUGAACUGGUCAUAAUUUGCCUAUAAGAUUUCUCAUGUUGUUUUGAGGUGCAACGGAUUUUGAAUUUAGUGACAAGCAGUGGAAGCCAGAAGGCAAAUUAUGAAAAUGGAUAAAGAUCUAUAAUUAGCUGUUAUGGGAUGUCACAUAUCAUAUUGAUGGUAACGUUAUAUAUAUGUACAUAUAAUUAAUGGGGUUGGCUCACGAGCCCAUUAAUAAUGGUAUAUUAGCUUAUAUACUUCAAACAAUGUACUAUGAAGCAAUUUCACAAAUACUUGUUAGCUUAUGUUGAGCUUUAUUGAAUCAGUAGUUCACAGUUCAAUAAAAUGCAGGUUUGCUAUUUGAAGUACAUGGUUAUGGUGCGUACAUUCUUCAUAAGGCUAACUACUAAUUUUCAUUGAAACUUGAAAAAUGUGAUAGAGAGUAGAUAACAGCCGCAAAACACUGAGAUUGAAAAUCAGGGCUACUAAAUUCUAUUAAAAGUCCUUAAAAAUAGACAGCGAUCACCCUGAAAUGUAUAUACUGAAACUAAGAAAUAUUAAUCGCAAAGUUAUGCAUUAAUAGAACUAUUGACUACUUAUCUUUAGCAUAAAGUAUAUUUUUAACUACAGCUUUCUGCUUUGUUCUAAGAACUAGGCAAAAGUGGUGUAUCUUCAAUCCAAUCAACAUAUAUACCACUUAUCUUCCUCUUCACUUCUGUCUAUUUUGAUUUGCACUUCAUAUCCUGCACUUGCUGCUUAGAAAUAGUCUUUAUUCUGGACAUUGAAAGUAGAAAAAGUACUUGAAACAAUCAUUGGCACAGCCCGAGAUUCCAUUGAAUCGUGGACUCCAAGCUUUCAUAGUUCUAUAAAGAAGAUGACAAAACUUCAUACAACUGGCAUUCUGCUUUUAACAUUUGCACAACCUGAGCGAGUUAGCAAGCCCCUUGUUGCGUUCCCAUUGAAUAGACCUACUUCUGUUAUCCGCAGAAGAUCCACCACUCAAAAUGUUUAUCCAGGCUAUUCUUAAACUGAGCCUAAACUGAGUAGAAACUUCCGCACAUCUCUCAGCAUUUACAUGAAGAAAUCGACAACUAUCCUCAUCUCUCAUCUCUCAGCAUUCUACAAAGUUGCAUUUCACUAAGCAAUCUAUCCUCUCCAUUCCUAGCAAAGUGACAUUGAUUCCCGUAUUUGUAAUCGCCUAACUUGGGUUUUGGGCAUAGCGUGGUCUUAAAAUUACCACCCAAUACUUUGUUCAGUGCCACUGGCAUCCACAAGCUCUAGCCCUGUUAGUUGAAUCAUAUUCAAUGGACAGUGAGGCAGCAUUUCACUAACAUAUUCAAUUUGACUACUUAUAUUGACGCAAAUAUUAGAAUUUGAAAUCACUUCUUUUAUUGGAAUAUUAUAUUAAUAUGACCCCAAAUGAAAGUUCUUGAAUGGAAAUGAUUUUUAUUUACUUUUCGACAGAUUCAAGAAAACCCAGAGAACACAAAAUUUACACAGUAAUAUGAUUAAGAGCUGAGAACGUAUAUGUAGUAAAUGUCUAUCAAAAAACACCAAGGGUUUCUUUAAAAUUAGUAACUAGUAAACAAAAAGAAAGAAUCAUUUUACAUUUUUAGCAACUUUGGGUGAGUGAGUGAGUGAGAAAUUGAAACCCUCAAGUGAUGACAACAGUAAGAUUCAGUAUGAAGUGAAACCCCCAAUUUGAAAUGUAGGCAUGAGUUGCUGAGUCAGUAGAUGAAGCUAUAAAUAGGCAUUCGGUUUCCUUCUUUUCGGUUUGGAGGGCCAUGGAAUAGUGUAUUGGAGUGGGCUCCAAGUAAUAGCCUCUAUCACUGGAACGACACAUCUAUAAAAUGUGAUACAUGGGGAAGGAUUGGGCAUUUUAUUCUUAGAUUAGCCCCUUAUUUAGGGUGUAUAUUAAGCAGAUUAUAUAUUACAUGGAGAUGGAGUUUAUGAAAUAGAUUAAAAAGAAAAGGAAAUUUUGGUGCCUAAAGUUUGCCACUUGGAAUAUUUCGUGUCUAAAAAUUCACUCACCACUUAUUUCAUGUUUGAUUAUAUGUUGAAAAGAUAUUAAAAUAGUAUAAUGCUAUUAAGGCUUAACGUAUAUUUUUUAUUAGUAGAGUGUAGAAUUUUUAAGAAAUAAAUUAUUAAAUUAUUAUAACUAACAUAUUAUUUUAAAGUUGUGUUAUGAAAAAAAUGAAAUAAAAAUGUACAGUAAAUAAGAAUAUUUUAAAACUUUUAUCUUUUUAAAAUUAGUUUUUAACAUAAGGUGAACUAUUUUUUUUUUUAAAAUCACAUAUUCUAGUUAAAAUCAAAUAUGUAUUUAUACGAAGCUUGUAAAUUUUUUUUUUAGUACUGAUAUUUGAAUAUUAUCAAUAAAAAAAAGGGUAAUGUUCAUGCUGCAUUAUUUUUGUAGCACACAAAAGGACAACACCGUUUAUGUUAUAAUACUAUCGCUUCUGUUAUGAUAAUUUUUUUUGUGGCCAAAUAUCUUUUUUUUUUUUAAGUAAAAAAAAGUGGACAAAAUGCAAAUCAGUUUUUAAUCCUCAAUCUCUCCCAAAAUAUAUAUUUCGGUGUCUAAAAAUUCACUCACAAAACUAUAGCUGACAAAAAGUUACUAACAAAAAGUUAGGUCCAUGGGUUGUUAAAACUAUAGCUGACAAAAAUUACUAACAAAAACAGAAUGUCCAUUUUAUAACUUUCUUAAAAAACUUUCCUUAACUUUUUUAAACAAAAAGUUAUUUUCCAAUUUUAUUUUGUUAUAAUUUUAUAACAAAAAUUCGUAGUUAACUAAACUCUUCUUAUACCCUUUCUCAACUGCCAUACCCUAACCCACUAAAACCACGCUCAAUAAGGCCAUCAGAUUCUCCCGGCCCACAUUAAUCCAACUGCUUCACAGAGACCGACAGCCUCUCUAUCUCCAUUUCAAGCUCCCUCUUCAACUGGCUUCUGCUACCGUCCUACUCUUUCUCGGCUUCGGAGUCCGUAUUUGCUCGGCCUGUCCCACGAAGCUCCCUCUCACUCCAAUUGUCGCCCCACAAGGACCAAUUGCUUAAUCAAGACACCGAACAAGAAAAGGAUGAGAAGUUGAAACAAAAGAAUUUGAGAAUUGGAAAUAAAAAACGUACGCAUUGACCGUGCCUUUGAGAGUCGUUUCUCUUCAGAACUCAGUGCCUCAAUCUUGGGUUAAGGAUUUUAUGCGAAGUCAGGGAAAGAGAUUGAAGUUUCAGAUGAAUUUGUGUGCUAGCAUUGAUGGGAUCUUUAACAAUUUAUCUGUGCCCUUUA